CAGGCUGUCAACAGUGGCAGUAGUUGGGGGCUCCCAUCUAUGAAAAAGCCACAGAAAGUCUUUUCCUACUGCCUGAGGAAUUAAUCCCUUCUUUAACGUUCAUAAUUGCUGGAUCGAUUUAACAGGACUGGAGCUAACAUUUGCUUGGAUUUGGCACCAUUGAUAGGGAACUGCCUGCUGCGUCCUCCGCUUUGAAGUCACCCUGGUCUUUGGGCCUCCAGCACCUUCUUCAGCAUGUCCAACCCAUCUAAGAGGCGUAUGAUACUGGUGUUCCACUGGGUUAGGAAGAAGCCAUUGACAGAGAAGCCGUGCUCUACCAUCUCGGCCAGACCUUCUGCCUCUGCACCGGCUUGCAACACUCCUCACAUUUCACCCUACUUCACGAGGAGCAAGACACAACCCGCUCCGCUCAGGAGGUCCAGCAGGCGCAAGGUGCUGCAAUUGCCGAAUCUCACCGACCCCAAGUUGUUAAGAUCUGUCAUUGGCAGCGUUGGCCGGAAGAGAGCCCGCAGGUGUGGCAAGCAAAAGAUGCCCACGAGCAUUUAAGAUAUGAAAAGCUACUGGAUUUAAUCAGGAAGUUAUGAGACAUGCACUGAUUGGAAGCGAAGCUGUAUAUCGGCCCUGAACCUUCUGCAGGUGCAGAUUAAGUAGGCUUGCUUUUAAAUGCCAUCUGAAUCAAGUUUCUCCCCCAUCCCUAUUGGUAGCUAUGUGGAGGGUUGCUACCACUUCUUCCUCCCUCCCUCUCCACUCCAGUGUAUCUUUUAACAUGAGCCAAAGAAGCAGACAAAAGGCAAAUGCUUUCCUCUCAGCUCUGUUCCCACUGGAGUCCACUGGUCUCCCCUUCUGUCACAGGCUCAUCCCUGAUCUCUCCCAGGUACCAGACGCUUUGCAACCAGAAGUUUAGUGAUCCUUCCACUUUGUUCCAGAUUUGGCAAGUAGGCCACAUAUGCCUUCCAGAUCUCGAGAAGAGGCCUGCCAUCUUCCACGCUUUGAUGCUGAGUGUCACGGAGGUGUUCCAUAAAGGCUUCCCUUUUACGGAUUAGAAAAAAAUACAAAUAUACAAAAAAAGGAAAAUACAUGUAACCAAUAAAAAAUUAGAAAACAUUUUACCUCUUCUCAUAUUUACAAUUAUUUGCACCUCUACAAAACAAUAUUCACAAUAAAGAAAAGAAAUGAAAGGUAAAAUAUAAAAUAAAAGAAUAAGAAGAAGAUAAAGAAAAUGAAGAAAUAAGAUCAAGAAUGAGAAUUUUGAAAGUAGAUAAGUAUUCACUAUACACAGCGAUUUCCAAUCUAUAUUUAUGUUCAAUUAUGUAUUUUCAUCAUAUCCUUAUCUAUCUUAAUUAAAAUAUUUUAAAAAGACUUCCACUGUUUGCCUCACACAUUUUUGGUAGUCCAUUUGCGUGUUGAGGUCCCCAAGCCACCCCUCAAAAUAAUUCACAAAUCACACGUAAUUUUUGUUUAAGGUUUUUGGCAUAAUCUUGGCCACAACUUUAUUAAAAUACAUAAUCUGUGAGUGGUUGCUUAGGCAUUGGUUAUGACUAUCUGUCCCCCCGCCUGGGACAGAACUGACUUUCCGAACUCCCUCGGAAGCCAGUGAAGGGAAAACAAUGUUGGGGAUCAGUUGAGCUAAGCGACAGUCCCUCACUGCUCACCCAACCAGCUCCCCAAGGCUUGCCAGCCCUGGUCCCAUUUCAGGGAUUGCACGAAAUCGUGGCAAGCCCCAAGAUUCCUUUAACGGAAUUCCCUUCCACACCACCAUUGGAGGGGCAGACACAGCCUAUCCUGACCACUCCUCCACCAAUUUUUAUAACCAAUGCCUAACCGCCACAUGAGCUCUUACGCUCGCCGCCAAACCACUCACAACCCCAACCAAGUACCCAAUUUUGCAGCCACUGCAUCCAGCCAAACAUCAUUCCCCAAAACGGAGAGGUGCACUCCAUCUGCCCGGUAAAGGGCCUCAGCCUUAAAAUUAAUGUCUGGGUGCAAAAUCACCAAACCACCCAGCUCCAAUACCUUCCCGCAAACAGCAGAGUUUAUGCGCUUCCUGGCCCUCUCAGCGGCCUCUGGGCAGGAAAUGCCGCGCCAGGUUCGCCACUGCAGCAGGUGAGACCAAAUUAUUCUCACUGAAGGUAGUAAGGCUGCCAAUUCUUCCAAAUCCCUUUGGAUUGUGGUGCACAAUGCAAGGCAAUCAGUAGUUGCCGCAUCAUUUUCCCCCAGCUGCACCACUAUAGCCACAAGCUUGGGGGGCAGCGGGAAGGUGGCGCGCAGCCUUUGCACUGCUCCCCGACCUGGUCUUUGAGGCUGGCAGUGGGGGAAAGCAGCGCUUCCCCCCCCCCCGCCAGCCCCACAAGCUCGUGGGGCAGUGGGAACGGAGCGUGCAGCCUUUGUGCUGCUCCCCGACCUGGUCUUUGAGGCUGGUGGUGGGGGAAAGCAGCGCUUCCACCCCCCCCCAGCCCCAAAGAGCAUGUCAAAAGGAACCCAAAGCCUCCGGAGCCCAGCGGGAACUCCCGCUGCACUCCUGAGGCUUCAGGUUGCCUUCACUGAAGCCUGGAGAGUGAGAGGGGUCAGUGCGCAGUGACCCCUCUUGCUCUCCAGGCUUCCAAGGUAGCCGCCUGAAGCCUCCAGAGCGCAGUGGGAACUCCUGCUGCGCUCCGGCGGCUUUGGGUGAACACACCUUGAACGUACAGAACGCACCUUGUUUUAGAGGGGGAGAACAAGAAAAAAAAUCUCCCCCUCUCUGCGCAGCGCCCCUUCAGUGAAGCGGCAGGAGAAAUGGAAGGGACUCCAUUUCUCCUGCUGCUUCGCUGAAGGGGCGCUGAGCAGAGAGGGAGAGAUUUUUUUUUCUUGUUCUCCCCCGCUAAAACAAGGUGCGUCCUAUGGUCAGGUGCAUCCUAUAGAGCGAAAAAUACGGUAUUUCAUAGAACUGAAGAGUUGGAAGGUACUCCAAGGGCCAUCUAGCCCAACCCCAGGCAAUGCAGGAAUCACAGCUAGAUUUCCCUAGAUUUAGUGAAUUCUUAUACCACCCUUUAUGACACAUACUUCCAGGGCAUCCCACACAGAAAAGAAGCAAAAACAGUAAAUACUUAUUAAAAUAAUGCCAACACAACAGUAUAUUUAAAAACAGCACCAUAGCAAAAUAAAAGAACGAGUUGAAUAGCAUCAAGCAUUCCCCCUUUCCCUAUUUUUCUUCUUCACUCGCUAAUAAAUUGUUCCCGGGUUCAUGAUGUAGAAAUUGUCAUUAAGAGAACAGUUCCAGGUGGACACAUGGUUGUCAUUUCCCUGCUGGCUCAGUUGGUUCCCAGAAAUGCUUUUUCCACUUCGGACUAUCUCCAUCUACCUCUCUGUCUUCCUGUCUCACAAUGGUGCAGCUGGUUUCCAUCCACAUGGAUUAGGAGCUGUCCCCCCCCUUUUCUUUCCAUUUGUUUUUAAAUAAAAGACUUCUGAGCGGUUGGGGGAAGAUGGCAAGGGAAGGGCUGCAUUUUGCAACUGGUGAGGAAGCUUGGCUCCUCUUUGGGAAAGCUUCAUCCACACAGGGCUUAGUUUGAGGGUCAUUUUUUUGUGUAGUUUGCAGUCCAUUCACAGUGCCUCCCCCAGCCUAACCUCUCUCCUUCACAAGGUUCUUGUGAGGAUAAAAUGGGGAGAACUAUUGCCCCCUGUAGAGAAAAGGUGAGAUAUAAAUAGAAUAAUAAAUACAAAUGCACCCCACAUGAGAACUGCUUUAUAUCCUCCUUGAGGGUUUCUCUCUGUCUGGAAUGUGUCCUUGAACUCUGAAGAUCCCUCUUGCUUGCCAGUAUUUGAAAUACUGAAUUUCAAAUUGUUGUAGCCUGCCCUGGGAUCAGCUUUUGAAGGACAGGUAAUAAAUCUACAACAACGAUGAUGUUUACAUCCACUGCUCCACCCACUUUUGCUUCUGGCCCCACCCACUGGUGGUAUGUGGCUCCCAAAAGGUUUCCCAGAAGGGGAAUGCGACCUCUAUUCUGAAGAAGCUUUCCCACUCCUGAUGCAGAGCAUAGUUUAACGAUGGAACUUGCUUCCAAAAGAUGUAGCAAAGGCUUCGUACUUGGAUGGCUAUUGUCAUGGACUGGUUGGAUGCAGAGGAGUGGUGGGAGGACUGGUGGUGGGAUGACAAUGAGUGGUCAGAGGGAGAACAGGGAGAAGACUGAAGAGGCAGGAGGGCUUAGUGAGCUGGGAGAGUCUGUGGCAGCGAGAAGCGUAGUUAAACAAUGGCACUCGCUCCCACAGGUCACCAAUUUACAUGGCUUUAACAGAGGGUUAUCCUUCAUAAAGGAGAUGGCUAUCAAUGGCGACUAGCCAUGAUGGCUGUGCUCUACCUCAACAGGUGAAGGCAGUAAUGCUUCUGAGUACCAGUUUCUGGAAACUGCAGGAGGGCAGAGUGUUGCUGCUUAUGGGUUUUCCACAAGCAUCUGGUGGGAACAGGAUGCUGGACAAGAUGGGCCAUUGGCACUUCUUAAUAAUUAAAAUCAACAGUUUUAAGUAUUGUAGGACUGGUAUAAUAUUUCAAUCUUUCUUUCUUUAUCUAUCUAUCAGCUGAUAGAUCUCUUUUCAACUGCAGAAGUCUUUCCCUCUUCCCUCGCCCCCUCAAUGUCCUGUUCUUCCUGGGCAUAUUCUUAAGAACAAAAAUACAUAACAGGCAGGUUUUAUUUAUUUUUUUAAGCUGUGGUUUCCAAUCAUAAGUUGGAUUUUCCUCUGACAGGCCCCCUGUGAUAAUCUUGGGGAGCUAAUGAGCAGCCAUAAAACUCCUUCCAGAAAUAUAGGCUCCAUGUGUAAUAUGGUCACCUUGCGGAAAAGAACACUGGCUUACAUCUUGGAUUUUUAUUUAUUAUUAUUUUUGCCUCUGUCCGCAGCUUGCACAGUAAUGAUCAUAUAGCUUGCAGACUUCUAAAAACAGGACAUCAACAGCUAACCACAAUGCUUUAGAAAGCAUUAGAUGGUAUACAAGAACUGAGGUGUACACGAUCCUGGUGCUAUUUUUAAGCCAGGGAAUGGAUUUUGCAUGCCAUGGAGCAGAUUUAAUAAACAGUGCUGUGCCAAUUUAUAAGGAGAGUCAGCUGAAGCCAGGAAACCAGGUUAUCCCACAAGAGCUGAAAGGGAUAGCAAAGCACUCAGGUGAAUGCAUGGUUUAGAUAAACGGGGAUCAAAAUACCCAAUGAAUAGACCCAAAAUGUCCCUUCACAACUGAAAGCCUGAAGCCAAAGAACUGGUUACUCACUGAACAAUUCAAACUAAAGAAAGCCAACUUCAGGUACUCCUAUUCCGAACUCAGUUCAAGAGGAAUUGGGAAGAAUUUGAUUUACACCACCUUUUUUUUUUUUUUUUGGUUAAGUUCCUCUGGGUUAAUAGGUCAUGUGACUAAGCGGAAAGAUGUGUGGAAUAGGCAUCAGUUUCUGUCCUGCUCCUCCUAUGCUACCCUACAAAUCCAGAAUACCCUUUUUGGGAGACUUAUUCCAAUAUAGGUUCUGCCAUUGUAAGUUCUUCUGGCUGAGCCCUGUCUGGGUGAGGGACAUAUGUCAGCAUAUCUUAGACUCAGCUACAGUGAGGGACUUAAUGCCAACUUAGGCACAUCUUAGCUGGGCAAGCCAAAGACUAUCAAAUCCAAACUGCCCCAUUCUGUCAAAUCCUUGGUUUGGAUUGCACUGUUAGUCUCUUUGCAUCUAUAAGUGCCAGUGAUUUUUUUUUAAUGGGGGGAGAAUCUAGCCCAUCAAAUUGACCAGAACUGUGUGGUGUGGCCAGUAUAUGGGGAUACUAAGUUAACAAGGCAAUAUGAGAACUCUCUCCUGUGUCCCAGAAACUUUUCUCAAUCUCCCACCUGCCCAGACAAGGGUUUAAUUGCUGUCAAACUGACAACUUUCAGUUUCCCCACAGAAGCUGGACUGUGAACUGCUCUGUUCCCUGAGCAAUGAAAUGUUCUGUGGCAUCACACCAGUUCUCUGUCAGUCAGUAUCAAAGGCUUUACCAUCACAAAUGCAGUGCAUGCAACGAAAGACAUAUAUAAGCAGCACUGAAAAUACCUUCAGAGAGGAACCAAAAGUUCAGGAAUAGCCUUGGAGUAGCACAGGGGCUGAUGGAGAUCCAGUCAACAGGCUCACCCAUACUUCUGCUUGUCCUUUGCACGGGUCCAAAAGGUUUUCCACUUGUCCUGUGGUUUCUAGGCAUGAGUCUGAGCAGUUUUGCUACUUUCUCUGGGAAAUUGCACUGUUUACCACUGAAUUGGAGCAAAUGUCCACUUGCAGAAAAAAAGAUUGUUUGUUCCAGUUCAGCAGUAAACAGCAGGUUGGGCAAGCAGGAAUAUGGACAAGCCCAAAACCUUUUUCAAAGGAUACUUCAUUAUGUCUAAGAGUGUGGUUUGAAGGCAUAUGGGGCUACUACCUUGCUUGAAAGCAGGUCUGGGUCUGGUCAGUGCCUGGAUAGGUAACUAUAUGGGAACCACAGUGGAAGACAAGCAGGAUAUAAACAUAAUAAAAUAAAGACAAUAUAGCCCAUAGUCAAGUGUUGUUAUUUAUUAAUUUAUAUACCUUUUAUAUGCAAAAACAGUUUCUAAGCUGUCAUCAUCUAAGUGUGCACUUCACUGGCAGGGGCGAAGUGAACUAGUGGGGUUAGAGGCCUCUAUUAUAUAUUUUUUGGCAGAGUACCUUAGAAAGUGCUCUUGCAAAAUCAGUGAAAUGUUCCCUAGGAUUUCACUCUCAAGGUUAUUUUCAUCAACCUUGCUUGCUUUUCCAUCAGCCCAUCAGUGAGUCUUUUGCUUUUUGAGUGUUGUUCUUUCCAGGCCAAUCAAGGAUCUGCAGAAAGGUUUUUCUUCCCCGUAAUCAAUCCAUCAGUCAUGUCUGGUUUGUCACGUCUAAAAAACGAUAGAAACCUCAACAAGUGCUUAAUAUUCCCCAUUGAGAAGCCUUAGCACCCUGAAGUUGGUAUGAUUAACAUUACUCCACCAUCAACAGGAAGAGUAUUAAAGCUUUGCUUUAUAAACUAGGAAAAAUCCAACAGUAAAUGGGGGGGGGGGGGGCGGGAGGAAGAAGAAAAAGGAGAGACAGAGAUAAUGUAUAUGUAAAAUAUUCACUGCAUUAUUGCUUUAUAUAUGCAUCGUGCAGUAGAUGAGGAAUCUUAAAAGUGAGAAUGCUGUUGAUAAAUCUAGCAUGGUUAUUUGACAUUUAAUUUAUUUACUUAAAUAAUUCCUACCUUGCCUUUCAAAUAAAUUUUCCAAAGCAUGUGACAUUAACACCCCCCCCCAAAAAAAACCCAAGCAAAUGCAAUAUAAAAUUGCAUUGAGAAAUUAAAAGCAUAAGGCUUAUAAAAAGCUGAUAAAAACAGCAGAUUAAAAAGAGCCAGCCCAGUCAUAAAAUACCUUUUGGAAUAAAAACAUCUUUAAAAUGCCAUAUAUGAAUGGGAAGAGAGAAGGAGGAGAGAGAAUUCUAUAAACUUAGUGGCAGCACUGAAAAGACCCUGAACUUAGUAACCAGCAAUUGGCUUUCAGCUAACGUUGAGCCUCUGAUGCCCAUCUAAGGCUCAGACAGAUUCAUAUGGGUGACAAAAGUCCCUAAAAUAAUAAAUAAAAGUUUUCCCCACAGAGCAACAACUCCCAGAAACCUCAACAAAUUACAGUUCCUAGGAUUCUUGUGUGUGUGAUGUGCUUUAAAUGUGCUUCACAUGCACAGUGUGAUUGCAGCCGGUGCUCCUGGUCACUUCAAUGCACGCUUUGUGUUCGUUCCCCCUCCAAAUGUGUGGCUGGUGGCUGAGGGACUUCAGCAAAGGAAUCUUCCAGUUCAUUGAAGCUAAUCAACAACUGAUGUGCUUCUUCCCCUCACCCAAAGUCCUUGCUGCCAUCUGUUUCAUCCAUAUUCAUAAAUCUGAUAGCUUCACACUCUCCAAAAUUGAAUUGCCGAGUCUCGCAACCUUAGCUAGAUAGGGCGUGUUGUACUGUUUGAUUUUAACAAGGCUGAUAAGACACAUCGUGCAUUCUGCUAGCACUCAGUCUCCUUUUGAUUUCAAAUAAUUUAAAUGCUUGCCUUUUGACAACCUAUCUCAUCCUGGGGUGAUAAUUAAAAUGCAGUUUUCUUAUUGUGUUUCAUGGAGCCCUGAGAGGGCAAAAUGCAAUCAAGCUUUCACACCAUAGAAAUCCAGGAAAAGCAUUGGUGAUCUCGUUUUCUGAUAUCUUUUGGCAAUGGAAUUGAUUUUUAAAAAACAAGCAUUGUGCAUAAUGGACUCAAACAAAACUGGGACAGGAAUAACAUCACUGGGUUCUUUAAAACUAACCCCAACCCCCGCUGCCACUUUUACAGUUUGUGAUUAUAAGAUGUUGUUGUUUAGUCGUUUAGUCGUGUCCGACUCUUCCUGACCCCAUGGACCAGAGCACGCCAGGCACUCCUGUCUUCCACUGCCUCCCGCAGUUUGGUCAAACUCAUGCUGGUAGCUUCAAGAACACUGUCCUACCAUCUCGUCCUCUGUUGUCCCCUUCUCCUUGUGCCCUCAAUCUUUCCCAACAUCAGGGUCUUUUCCAGGGAGUCUUCUCUUCUUAUGAGGUGGCCAAAGUAUUGGAGCCUAGGUUUCAGGAUCUGUCCUUCCAGUGAGCACUCAGGGCUGAUUUCCUUAAGAAUGGAUAGGUUUGAUCUUCUUGCAGUCCAUGGGACUCUCAAGAGUCUCCUCCAGCACCAGAAUUCAAAAGCAUCCAUUCUUCGGCGAUCAGCCUUCUUUAUGGUCCAGCUCUCACUUCCGUACAUCACUAUUGGGAAAACCAUGGCUUUAACUAUAUGGACCUUUGUUGGCAAGGUGAUGUCUCUGCUUUUUAAGACGCUGUCUAGGUUUGUCAUUGCUUUUCUCCCAAGAAGCAGGUGAUACUCAGCUGAAAUUGCCAAAACUGGCUUUUGAGUUGAAUGUCCCCUUUAAGAUUUCCCCUUUAAAUACAAAUUCUAUCCCCAAACAUGUGGCUGUCAUAUUGGAAUCAUUUUGUGUGCAGCCUAAGGGUUAAUUCAGUUUGUGUUAAAUUUAACUACUCAAGAGGGGCAGGUAGAGGAAUUGCUUGGCAACCAGGCUGUGUGGCUUGAUGUUUGCUGCGGUAGCAUGUGCUCUAAUUUGCUGAUUAGUUCUGAGGGAGCUUUUCUUCUGUAUGUUUGGUUGAAUAUCUCCCUACUGUGUACAAGGCCUGAAGUAUGAAAGACAAAGCCUCUCUAUUCCUUUCGUUUUUAUAUAUAAUUUUAUUUUUUAUUUUGACAAAGUAAUAAUAAUAAAUAAAUAAGAAUAAAAAUGUGCACCCCACCCCCAAGACCAUUCCAUUGCAACUAUCCAACCACCCAAAAUUUCAACACCUCUUGCGAUGGUUUGACCCCUUUCCAUUUUAACAGUACAAAUUCUACAAACACCUUCCAUAUUGCCUCAAAAUCGUUUCUCCUGCAUAUACCCCAUCUUACCUUAAUAGCAUAUGUUAAUUUAUCAUUAAUAUCCCACACCUCUUUAUUCCAAUCUCUCUAUUCCUUUCUCCUCAAAUAAUAGAAUGUUUCAUUCCAUUUCUGCAGUAAAGUAUUGUCAGCAUUCCUUUUCUUUCUGGACUCUGUCUGCAUUUUUUAAGUGCUAACACUGAAGAUAGGUGGUUUAUGAUCAGGGCGUUUUCACUGGCUAAGGUUGUUGGGAGUUUGAGUCAUAUAACAUCUGAAAGGCUACAGGUUACCUUUUUUAAAAACUUUCCCCUUGGACCAAAGGCUGACUGGGGCUGAUGGUAGUUGUGGUCCAAAACAUCUGGAGGGCACCAUGUUGGCAGAGACCAGAACAUAAGAAUGUAAAUGAAUGCUGCUGUAAAUCCUUUCCUUGCUCCACACCAAAGGCUUGACUAUGAUGGUAUGGCAGAUACAAGCGUUGGAACGUCUUCUGUGCCUCACUUGCACAAGUCAGGAUGAAUUUCAGUCCACCAGGAGUAGACAGGAAAGGACAAAGUGGUGUGACUGAGCAACAGUGCUGCAGCAUGAUGGGUGGUUAGCAAGUGAAGAGAUAAGGAAGUUGCCACCGAUUUUAGCCUCUCUUUUUUUACCUGUCUAAUGAAAUUAGUCUACUGGUACCUGUGCUUUUCCGAUGCUGUGCCUUUCUUUUCAAUGCUCUUUGAAAGCUCCUGUUGAAAUUAAUCUGUUUCUCAUAAGAAUGUUGCCAGGUUAGGUCAACCCAAUUGUCUAUCAAACAAUGCGUUCUUCCUGGCAACAGUAGAGAGUGUGGGGGAGGGUUGAAUUCAAUUCAGUUUGCAUUGAAAGGCAAACUUACCUAAUUUGCCUUUUCUAAAACAAUUAACAAAUGAAAAUCCAGCUACCAGUUGCUGGGAACUGUUCUGCAGACAUCUAGAUGGCCACUGUGAGAACAGGAUCCUGGAGCAGAUGUGCCAUCAGCCUGGUCCAGCAAGGCUCCUCUUAGGUUCAUUCUUUAAAAUUUGCAUUUUUCUGAAUUUUGCAGUGCAGAUUUCCAAUCAAGUACUGUGUGCAUCUACUGGGGUACAAAAAUGUAUCUACUGGGGGUAGUGGGUGCAUGGUGUUUCUCCCCCUCCAAACAUUUUUAUUAACAUCAAUAACUGGGCACAAGUCUAAUGAUGUAAGCCACAUCCAGGGGAGCAAACAUGGAAUUCCUAGCAGUACCACAACUUUCCUUCCACCUCAGCAGCACUGAGCUCCAGGAUUCAACUGCAGUACCAGCCUGUCUGAACUUCCCAUCAACUGACAUUGAAAGGCCAGUCCCUGUAUGCCAGACUCCAUAAAGCUUGCAUGCACCUCAGACGUAGUAACUCAUUUCUUGCCUGAAGGAGCUGCCUAGCCUCUGAUUCCCCUGCCUUGACCUGGACCUCCAAAUCCUCAGCUGCUGCUUUGUAAAAUUAUUCCACCCUGCCUGUUGCAUACCACUGCCCACUUGGGAUGUCAGCUAGCUCUUCCAGAACCAAGCUUCUUGGAGCCCAACCCUUGCUGAGACCUAACAUAAGCAGCGAGGAAAUAUUGAUGGCAACUGAGCACUGGCCACAAGGGCUUAUAACCCUUGCUAAAUGUGUGAGCCUUUAAUGUGGCUGCCAGAUUUCAUGGUUGCUUUUAUAAUAGGGUGUGGCUCCGCCAUGGGGGUGGGUCACAGGGCUGAGGAUUGUUGAAGAGCAUGUGGCAGAACACCUGCCUUGCAUGCAGAAAGUCCCUGGUUCAACCCACAGCAUCUCCAGAUGGAGCUGGAAGAGACCUUGCCUGAACCCUACAGGACCACUGUCAGUGAAUGUAGACAAGAGAGAGAGAGAGCCAGAUGAAUCAAUGGCCUGAGUUAGCAUACAGCAGCUUCACUGGUGGAGGAAGAGGAGUGUGGGGGGAGCACAUUGCCUCCGGCAGUGCGAUCCCGGCAGGGUGCGAUUGCAGCUGCCCCACCAUGUCCGCGCUGGGUGCCCUGCCCCCACAGGCAGUGUGCCCCACCCCCAGGACAUGUGCCAGUCCCGCCCCGCCUGCGCUCUGCCACUGAGCAGCUUCCUGUGUUCUGGGGUCAUGCAAGGAAUGUUGGAAGAUUCAGGAAAGCCAAAAAGAAGCACUUAUUCACAUAGCACAUAGUAAAAAAUAAAGGACUCACUAUCAUGAGACACAGUGAUGGUCUCCAGUUUGGAUGGUUUUAAAAGCGGUUUCGCUGAAUUCACAGAGAGGAAAAGAGUAUCAGUAGCUAGCUGUGAAAGCUGCUGACCCUACCAGGACUGAAGACACUCUACCUCUGAAUGCCAGCUGUUGGGGGCACAAGUGGGGAGAGUGUUGUUGCUCUCAGGUUAUCUCUGUAGGCUUCCCAUUAGGCCAUCUCAUUGACCAUGAUGAGAACAGGAUCCUGGAUCAGAUGGGCUUUUGGUGUGAUUCAGCAGGACUCCACUUUUGUGUGUUUGUAAUGUACCAUCAUAGCACAUGGCGCUUAAGCUCUGGGAUACUUCAUAUGGUAGAGCACAAGGGACUUAAUUUCAGGGUUGUAGAUUCAAGCUCCACAUUGGGCAAAUUAUUCCUGCAUUGCAGGGGAUUGGACUAGAUGAUACUAGUGAUCCCUUCCAGCUCUACAAUUCUAUGAUUCUAUGAUUUAUAGAGGAAACCAUAAACAAAAAUCACCUGCAUUCUUUGCCCCAAGCAGCUUACAGGGGUAAAUUUGCCAUUGCCCCAUUAUAAUUGCAGCAGCAGGGAUCGUUCAGUUUGUAACUUAAGGGGUUAAUUCUGUUCUUAAAAGGAGGGCUGGAGGUGUUGCAUAGUAACCAAACAGAGUGGCAAGAUCUUUACCAAAGAAGCAUGCAAUUUUUGUAGCUUUGAGGGAUAUUUUCUUCUGUAUGUUUGUUUAAAUGUCUCCAGUCUAUGUAGGAGGCCUGAAGGAAGGAUGACAAACCCUCUCUAUUCCUUCCUUCUCAAAUUAUACAUGUUUUUUGUUCAGCUUGCUUAAGCGAUGUGUUAUCAGGACUUUUCUCUCUGGCCACCAUCUGCAUUAUUUCAUUGCUAACACCCCCAUGUCUUGUAACUGUCCCCCUUCCUUUUCUUCCAGAUUGGAAAGUACGGAAAUCAGUCCUCUUUAAUCUGACUCACAUGGCAGGGUUGUGGUUGUUGGUUUUUCUUUUUUCUUUUAAAGCUAGAUGAGACAAGAAUUGUAAAGUGUGUUGAACACCUCAGAGUUCUACAGAAGCACAAACAUUCUUACCCUACAUCAAAUGGAAAAGAAAAGAAAAUCACAAUUAAAUCUGGUGAUUCAAACAAGAGUGCGGUGGAUGCAGACAGAGCUUGAAAAUCCUUCACAGGGAGAACUCUGUGGGAUUCUGCACCCAGCAUAACAAGCAGGUUCUGCUGACAUUCCCCAUUCAUUUAUAGUGCUCUGCAGCCAGUUGCCAUCGCUGUUGCCAUGGCAACACAAUAACUCUAGCCUAUAUCUGAGGAGGUCCCCUCAGCCGGCAUCCCAAGGUUUCCCCCAAAUGCUUGCAAGGAAGUGGAUGGGGCUCCUGAAUGCCAAUGAACAACCCUCCCAUUUGCUGGGUGAUGGGAGAGGGGAAUAAGAGUGAAAUAGUGCAAAGUGACCUGAAUAUUAAUUUGGGGUGGUGGGGGGGGGGGAGAAAAGAGAGAAAAGAAAUCCCCCAAUCUCACGACACAAAUGCGUCAAGAUUCACAGCUCCCUCUCUCCUGCAGGAUCAUAAAACCUGGAAGAGCAUCCUUUAAUUCUGAGAUACCUUUGUGUGCAGCUGGGUGAGCCGAAAUCACAGUUGUGCCCCAGGCUUUUUAGCAGAGGGUUGGGGGGGGGAGUGGGAGAGUUAUUAUCAUUAUUUAAUUGUACCAAAACCUAACUGUUUAUGCAGACCAGUGAGGCAGAGUGGGGGGGUUGUUUGGGGGGCAGGAAACCCCCCCACCUCAUGCACAAACCCUAUGCAAAGAUGCUCCAUGUGUUAAUACAUAUUUGCUUUUUGAUCUUUCCCUUCCUUGUGUGGAUUCUGUUUUUCCCCCUGCAGCAGCAGCAGCAGCAGCAGCAGCAGCAGCAGCACCCCCACUAUGGAGCAAUUCUGGUGACUCACCAAAGGGAGUUCCCUUCUUCUUGGUUUCUGGCUUACAAAUGUAUCUCUUCAGCAUUGCCUUAGUGGUGCCGGUAAGCUUAUUUCUGCCGGGAUGGAGAAAGGGGCUGUGGAAAUAAUAAUAAUAAUAAUAAUAAUAAUAAUAAUAAUAAUAACAAUAAUAAUAAUAAUAAUAAUUUUAUUUGUACCCCUUAAAUGUUGCAACUCCUGUCUGUGAUGUGAUUGAUGUCUGUACUGAUGUUACCUUUGGGGAGGGCAUUGGAAUCUGCCUUAUAUCACUCAGUAUCUUUGUUCAUCUAUCCCAGUGGUGUCUUUUCCUGACUGGCAGGGAUUCUCCAGGGUUUGGGAGCAAAGAAAAGUAUUUCCUGCCACACAGUACCUGAAUCUUUUAGGUCAGAGAUACAGAAGGCUUUUCCCCCCUUGUUUGCUUUCUUUCAAAUAUUUUUUGUUAAAGUUUUCAAAAUACAAUAAAAUAGUAUCUGAAAGAAAUAGAAUCAAGAAGGAGAGAAACAGCAAAGGAAAGAGAAAAAGAAAAUGAGAAGGGGAAGGGGAAAGGAACAGAGAGACAGGAAAAAAAUUAAAAAUUAGCACCAAUAAUAAUAGUAAUAUAAUGAGGCACUAAAUUAUAUGUAUAUAGCCCUCUAGCAUAAUUAUAUCUUAAUCUUCCAUCCACAUACAAAUAAGUGAGUCUUCCCAGCUCCCACCUGGGGAAGCUUCCCCCUUUCUCAGCCUCACAUCAUGAGGAUAAACCUUCUCUGGCCUUUCUCUCACAUAGGUCCCUAUCUUCUAUCCUCAUUUCCCCCAAAUCUAAAUAUUCAAAAAUCCCACAUCUAUGGAUGUGGUGAAUCAGAGAUGUCAUGGCCUAUAUAUCAAAUGUGUGUGAUGGUUUAUAUCCAUUUGCUUCCAGAAGUGUCACAGCUUGUUGCCUCUUGAUACUGACUAAAGAUAGCCUUGGACACAUGGGCACAUAGCACAUGGGAAAGCUUAAUGUCCAAACAAAGCCACAUGGAAAAAGAGAGGACAUGUGCAAGUAUAUAACGCUCAUUACUCGAUGGCUUACAGCUGAAUGUGUGAACUGGCUACAUUAAAGAGCGAUGGUGCAUUUAAGAACCUAAGAACAUAACAAGAGCCUGCUGGAUCAAGCCAAUGGCUCACCUAAUCCUGCGUCCUAUUCUCACAGUGGCCAACCCACUGGGAAACCCACAAGCAAAACCCACAAGAGCACUCUCUGCUUCUGAAGUUUCCACCAACUGGUGUUCAGAAGUAUUACUUCCUCCAACCAUGGAGGUAUAUUCUAGCCUCAGUCACAGCUAGUAGCCAUUCAUAGAUGUAUCCUCCAUGAAUUGUCCAAUCCUAUUUAAAAGCCAUCCAAGUUGGCGGCCAUCAAUGCCUCCUGAGCAUGUGAUUUCCAUUUUGAGCUGCUGCCAGGUGACCUGCAAGUUAUCUCUGUGUUGAUUAAUCUGUGGUGGAUUAAUCUAUUGUGUCCCAUGGAAGUAGAGGCAGAUGGUACAGUCAGUAACAGAUAUCUGGCUUCUCCAGGGAAGGCUAGGAGGGACUCAUCUUUGAAGCCCUGGAGAGCAAAUGUCUUUCAGCAUUGCCAGGACAAGCAGAGCCCAAUCUGCCAUCUAGAUCCUAGAGCACAACCAUUUAGAAACUUGAGCACAUCCAAGUAUAGCUUCAGGGCAGUGGGCUACCUAGAAUAUAGCUGCUAGAAUAAGGAUGGUCAGCAACCCAGAUAUCAGGACCAUCUGGGAGAGUAAUCAUGUGUCUCAGUUCAGGUGGCUAGUCAUAAUAAAUAACAAGAUGAAAGGUGACAAAAUAUUUUUUAAUAAUUCCAGUGGCACCUUAAAGAUCUACUAAAUAUAAGCUUUCAAGGUAUGAGCUUUCGUGUGUGAUGCACACUUCAAUGUGUUUCAAUGAUGUUUUUUUCAUUCCAGACCCUGGUUAUUCAUCCUAGGCCAGUGUUUUUCAGACUAGGGUCUCCAACAGUUGUUGGACUACAACUAGCACCAUCCCUGACCACUGGUCCUGCUAGCUAGGGAUGAUGGGAUUUGUAGUCCAACAACAGCUGGGGACCCAAGUUUGAGAAACACUAUCCUAGUCUCUCUUUUAAAGGCCCCCAAUCCAUUCUCAGCUGCACUGGUGAGCACAAACCAUGGAGCAUGGGAUCCCCAGGGAGGAGGGCCCUGGUUCAUGUGGGGAGUAUGGCUCAGGGGGUUGGUGUUUCUUGGAACCUUCUUGAGGAGUUAUGGGUUCCAGGAGAUCCUGGUUAUUGUUAUCAGAACUUGGGUCUAUUGCAUCCAUCAGUGGUACUGUUCACUGUUAAUAGAACAAUGGAAGCUUCCUUCUUCUAAAUUUAGCCUUUGGUACAUGUAACAGUAUUUUUGACACUGACUGAUAGUGGCUCUCUAGGAUUUCAGCCAGGAGUCUAUCCUAUCUCUGGCAGGAGAUGCUGGGGAUGAAACAUGGCACUUUCGCAUGCCACACAGGUACUCUACCACAGGGGCCACUUGAUCUGUGCCUGGGUUCUAGUUGCUGACCAAGAUCAUUAAAAUCCAAGUGGUAUUCCUCUUCAGGAUUCUGGUGCUUCAGAGAAUGUGCAGAGUGCUCUUCUUUCUAGGGUAGAGUAUCUCUCUCUCUCUCUCUCUCUCUCUCUCUCUCUCUCUCGUGUGUGUGCUCAAAAGCACAACAUAGAAAGCAGAGGCACAGCAGCAAACAGCAAAAAGUAAUUUCCCCUCCUGACUUGGACUGUAUCUGAUGUUAAUCCUACAAAGAGUAGGCCCACUGAAAGCAAAGGAUAGGACUCAUAUAGGUUCAUUAAUUUAAGUAGGUCUACACUGAGUAGCUGGAUGCAACCCUUGACAUCCUGACAUCUAUCCAAGAAACUAACUCUGGCCAGUCCUCAUUUCCAAUUCUGGCUGGCUGUUUCCCAAUUCUACAUCUACUGUGUGUUCCAUUUUCUUCUCAAUCACAAUCAAACCUUAUCAUGGAGAAUGAUCUGCCAUAAUAUGAAUUUCUGGGAACCAGAGAAGACCUGACAUAAAGUAGAGAUGGCCUAGAUGCUGAUGAAUAAAUGGAAUUAACACCUAGCUCAAGGGUACUUAUGGGAAAGCCGGUUUAAACAACAGCAACAACAAAAUUACACACCACAACCAUAUCAUGGAAUGUUAGUUAAUAAGGGACUUUCCCCCUCAUUAAACCUCCCCCCAUCACCACACAAGUUUGUUGAGGAAGUUUCGGAGCUCAGUGUUGGGACAUCUUCUCUGCAUGCAGAAGGUCCCAUGUUCAAUCCCUGGCACCUUCAAACAAGCUUGGGAGAGACUUGCUUCCUGAAUGCCUGGAGAGCCACUGCCAGUCAAGAGUAGACAAUACAGUGGUUACCUCGGUUCUCAAAUGGCUUAGUUGCCGAACAAAUCAGCUCCUGAGCACUGCAAACCUGGAAGUAAGUGUUCCAGUUUGCAAACGUUUUUCGGAAGCCGAAUGUCCGAUGCGGCUUCCACUUGAGUUCAGGAAGCUCCUGCAGCCAAUCAGAAGCCGCGUCUUGGUUAUCAAAUGGUUUUGGGAGUUGAACGAACUCCUGGAAUGGAUUAAGUUCGAGAACCAAGGUACCACUGUACUGAGCUAGGUGGACUAAGCAUAAGGCAGUUUCCUGUGUUCCUUUGCUUGUUUGUUGGUUUAGUUUACAGAGACAAAAAGUGAUGCCAGUCAAAUUUUAUUGUGAGCAUUAAAUUAAUGCUGAGUCCGUAUCAGAAAAGGAACUGUUUGAAACCAAGACAGCCAAGGCAGAAUUGUAGGUCAUGAAUAUAAAAGAGACGAACACCCAGUUACUCUAAUGUUCCCUCUCUCUUAAGCAUUUAUCUACUGUAUAUACUGAUGUGCAUAUAACACAGUGGCGAUGAACCUGUGUGCCUCCAGACAUUUUUGGAGCAUAGCCAGUACCAGGAAUGAUGGGUGUUGGAGUACAACAACAUCUGGAGGGCCACAGGUUCCCCAGUUUAUAGCAUGUAUGUGUGUAUUAUUGUCUUAAUUUUAUUUUUUAAAAAAAUGAUAUUUAUUAAAGUUUCAAAAAAAGGUUACAUAGAUAAGAAAAAGAAAAAUAGAGAAAAGAAAAAUACAAAAUACAAAAAAAAAACAAUUAAAAACAAUUCCAUCUUUUCAUCACUUAUCUUUCAUUUACUUGUUUCCCGGACCUCCUCAUGCCUCCCUUUUUUGUAUUCCAGUUCAAUUUAUUAGUUCAGCAAUUCCUUUCCCUCCUUAUUUUAUCCUGAUCUUUAAUCUUAAUAUAUUAUAGCAUUAAGUUUUUACGUAUUAAAAAUCCAAUUUUUCCAUAUUCUUUUAUACCAUUACAGCUAGAAACCACUUAACUUCAAUCCAACAUCAUUCUAACAUUCAUUAAUUUUGCAAUAUUUCUGUAAAUAGUCUUUAAAUUUCUUCCAAUCUUCUUCCACCGACUCUUCUCCCUGGUCUCGGAUUCUGCCAGUCAUUUCCGCCAAUUCCAUGUAGUCCAUCAUUUUCAUCUGCCAUUCUUCCAGUGUGGGUAGGUCUUGUGUCUUCCAAUGCUUUGCAAUAAGUAUUCUUGCUGCUGUUGUAGCAUACAUAAAGAAAGUUCUGUCCUUCUUUAACACCAAUUGGCCGACUAUACCCAGGAGGAAGGCCUCUGGUUUCUUCAAGAAGGUAUAUUUAAAUACCUUUUUUAAUUCAUUAUAAAUCAUCUCCCAGAAAACCUUAAUCCUUGGGCACGUCCACCAAAGGUGAAAGAAUGUACCUUAAUUUUAAUACUGUACUACUGUGUUGCUGUAACCCACUCUUGGACUUUGCACUGAAGGGCAGGUUUUUAAAAUAAAAAAAUUUCCACAAAUAAAUGUGCAAAUGUCAAAACCUCUUUGAAUUUUACUGGUAGGUCUUAAGAUUUUAGGGAGACUGACCUUGGUCAACAGCCAAAUCUGAUGUUUUGUUUCCAGUGCUAAAGGAUAACACUUAAAACAGCUCAUGUGUCAGUCUCAAAAAAUGCACCUUGUGAUGACACAAUCCUUUGCAAGAUUUACUUCUCAAGUGCCAAGAAGGGCUUGCAGUAAAUGAAUCGGUUUCACCCUCAUUUCUCUCAUGUACCAGUAAUUGUCCCAUGCUCAGCUCCAGAUGAUCUCCCUCAUCCAGGUUAGAAGACUCCUGCUGGAUCAGGCCACAGGCCUAUUUGGUCUAGUACUUGCGGUAGCCAUCCUGAUGCAUCUUCUGCCAAAAGCAGGACCUGAGAGCAACAGCACCCCCCCCCGCAGUUUCAAACAACUGGCACACAUGGACUUGGAAGCAUUGAAGUUGGUGGGACUCUACUGAACCACCUGUCUCUGCCUAGUCAGUGCAGAAUGAUGCACUGGUGUGCAAUGUUUGGUUAAUUAUUCAGUUAGGUGUCUUGAUUGCAGCACUUUAAAUUAAAAGGUGGACAGAAUUAAGCAGACUUCAUUUUUUAGAAGGUAGCUUUCUAGAAUUUCAAAAAACUGCAGUUUUGGAAAUGGAGGUAUUACCAGUUGUGCUUCAUCUUAAAAAAGGGAUUAGGAACCUCAGCUGCAAGGGUCAAAUGUGGCCCUCGAGGUAGCUCUAUUUGGCCUUUGUGACUCCUCCUCCCUCCUUCCCUGGCUGCACUGCCUCUUCCUGAGCCACACUCCUUACUGACCUGGAUGCAUCUCUUCCUUGAGUGCUUCUGGCAUGCUGGAAAGUAUCAUAGAACUGUGAUAACAGCUCUUGACUAAGGAAUCAUGUGUGUGCAUGGAAAUCUCUGACUUCUGCAUGACUGAAAUAGAGCCUACCGUACAAAGAAAAGAUGUGAAUAGAUGUGAAUCUAUUGCUCUGGCCUCACCCACCUUUGCCUCUGUCCCCCCACCCCAAUGCUGAAACAUGCCCACCCUCCUCAAAAAGGUUCCCUAAGCAUGACAUAUUUUUUUACCCUUUGAAACAAUGGUUCUCUCUUGUAUGCAAAAAUAUGCAGAUUUAAUUGAUCAAAACCUUACCCAGUUAAUUGACUGCAGGUUUUUUUUAGAUUAUUAACAUUAUCAUCAGGUGACAGCCUUAUGGACAACUGUUCCAUUUCAUAUCCCAUACAAUGUCACUUGGUUAACAUUCGGCUAAGAUAAGCCAUUCCCUUUCCCCCCUUUCCUUCUGCAGACCUAUAAAUUGUUGGAAAGGGACAUGCAAGGUUACUGCUGGGUUAAUGCACAGAGUUAUUCUCCUCAUUAUUUGGCAUGCGAGUGAAGAUAAAAAGCUCAAGUUCAAUCAACGGGAAACAUUCUUCUAUCUUAGAAAUUUGAGCAUAUAUCAAAGUCAAACAAUAUUUGAAAUAACGAGCUCUUCAAAGCUGGAACAAUUGAGAUUUGCAUAUGUCUUUGCAGUGUGCAUGCAAGCAAUCAAUGGCCUCCGUGUUUCUGGGGAAGAGCGUCGGAAAAUCUGAAAUCAUUUUGGAGCACAGGAGUAAACAGCUGCAGCCAGACAGGGGGAUGCAAGCUUCUUCUUUUUAUCGCAGACUCUUUAGCCAAAUGUUACAUCCCAUUGUACAUGAGGGGAUGUACUGAAAAAGAGAGAGAUGGCAUUCAGUUAAUGCUCAAACAACUAAGGUGAAUAGGAAGCACAGCUAUCCAAAUUACCAAUGUCCUACACAUGUGCCCCCCCUUCUCUCUGCAGCUUCUCCUGAAGCAUUUGCUGGUGUAGGCAGGAGAGGUAUCAUCUGAAUGCAGAGAGGGGGAGGAUUCUAAUAGGCACCAUUUGUGAAUCCUACAACCUUUCUUUGGGGAGAUAUUCUUCCCCUGCACCAAAGUACCAAAUCACCAAAGCACUGCUUUUCCUGAUAUAUAGAUCCAUUGGGCCAGUUCCUCUCCCCUUGCACACUGUUUGCAUGCUAAGCAACCAACAGGGCACACAUAGGAGCAAAGCCUUAGAAUUCAAUGUGGGCAAUAGAGGUGAGCACUAACUUACAUAGCUAUGCCAAGUACCUUGCUACAGCUGAUGGCAUUUCAGACUGGAGUUGCUCCAAUGUUUACUCAAGGGGAAGGAAGAGAGAGCGAGGGACCAAGAGAGAAGGGGCACUUUCUGUUUGGAGCUGACUAUAGUUUCUUUCUGUGCUAUUCCCUCCAUACAUUGUUAACUUUGUCCUCUUUCCUGUAAGACUGGAAUGAUAAACCUGUGGCCCUCCUGAUAUUGCUGGACUGAAGUUCCCAUCAUCCCUGUCUAUUGGUCCUGCUAUCUGGGGCUGGUGGGAGCUCAGAGUCAAGCAACACAUGGUGGGGUAUUGCUUCCCUUCUCUACUAUUGCUUCUGUACGUCUCUCCACCUUUCUGGUUACUGCUGCUAUGUUCUUUCUGAAAAUAUGUGGGUAUGUUGUGGAUGGGAUGGUGUCAUGGCAAUGUGUAGCAAAUCUGGUCUUGCUACAAGAUAAUAUCGAGUGAGGGCAAACAAAGCCAGUUGUGAGUGAAGAAGCAGUGCCUCUUGAAUCAAGCAGCUUGGUCAUCCUAGCCAACCAGGGAUUACCUGGUGAUUGGAGUGAUGUAACUGCACUACAUAUCCAAUUGCUUUGGCUAUGGGACAUUACUGAAGGUAAACAAAGCGGAGAACGAGAAAGAGCAUAAUAUAAUUGCAUAGGCAAACGUUUUUGUAGGCAUUGUGGGGAAAUUGUCAAAAGAAUGGGCACUUUUUGACACAGGCAAAUAUGUUCCUGAAUAGCAGAGCGAUGUCUGCGCUCUCACAUAGCUUGCGCAUAACAAAAAGCUGGAAGGGGGGGGGGAUGCCACUGAAAGGGAGAUGUGAACAGCUUAACAAACUGCACAGUUCCCCCCUCCCUCUGACCAUCAGUGUCCAAAAUGCAAUUUAAAAAUCAUUCAGCAAGUACACAGAUGAUUUCCAUCUGAUAUAAAAGGGAAAUGAAAGCCCCAAUGCUCUUAUCUCCAUUUGCCCACGGAAGGAAAGGAAAGGAAAUGAAAUCUCACAUUUUCACCCCAGCAGCACAGCUGCAAACUUGUAAACAAAAGUCAAUAGAAGGUUUCAUUUGAUUACCGGCUUUGAUCCAUCAGUGCUGGAUUCUGAUUUGCUCUUAACACUGGCCAGAUUGCUUUCAUCUUAUAAAAUAUACGAGGAAGCAAGAUGACCCAAGCAGAUUUCCUUAAAUAGGAUGUUCCCUCCUCCUCUCUCUCUCCCUCCCCACCCCCCACCUCUUGGCAACAAUGCCGUUUAUGUGAAUAAUACUAGGAAACAUAGUAUGUCAUGAGCUAAAAGGCAAAGUCAUCAUGGCUGAAUUUCGAAUUGAAUUUUAAAAUCCUUGGCUGACGAUAUAUUAGAUGGAAGAGAUUAAACCUGCAACGGGAUGUUGAAUCUAGGCUGCUCACUGUGCCCCUCCACUUGACACCAUUCCCUCUUCCCCUGGAUUCCAAUUUUUUGCCUGCAACAAAAGAAAAUUCAGGGCAGAUAAAAGAAAGUAACAUCUUCAUGUAGUGAAUAGUUACUGUGAAGCUCACUCCUAUAGGAGGCCACCAACUUAGAUGGCUUUAAAAGAAUAUUGAUAGGGUGAAGCAAAGGGGAGGAUUUUUUUUAAAAAAAAACAAAACACCAUGGAAAAUGGAACGGGAAGUUGAUCAAACAAAAGAAAAAAUAUUAUGUAUUAGAAUGCCUAUGUGAAACUUGUGGAAAUCUAAUGAAUGAUAGAUGAUAGAUAGAUGAUAGAUGAUAGAUAGAUAGAUGAUAGAUGAUGAUGAUGAUAGAGAGAUGAUAGAGAGAUGAUAGAUAGAUAGAUAGAUAGAUAGAUAGAUAGAUAUACCGUAGAUACAGUGGUACUUCGGGUUAAGAACUUAAUUCGUUCCAGAGGUGUGUUCUUAACCUUAGGUACCACUUUAGCUAAUGGGGCCUCCUGCUGCCACUGGCGCGCAAUUUCCAUUCUUGUCCUGGGGCAAAGUUCUUAACCCGAGGUACUAUUUCUGGAGUCUGUAACUUGAAGCGUCUGUAACCUGAAGCGUCUGUAACCUGAAGCGUCUGUAACCCGAGGUACCACUGUAGGUAGAUAGAUAGAACGACAGAUAUAGAAUGAGUAUUGCAUAAAGCAUGAUGGAUCUGCUCUGCCUUCACAGUUGGAGGCAACAAUGCUUCUGAAGACCAGUUGCUGGAAACCGCAGGAGGGACCCCCUCUUUCCAUAUGAACCUACCUGGACCCCAAGAUCAUCUUCUGAUGCCCUUCUUUGUGUGCCUCCUCCCUGAGAGGUCUGGAGGGUGACAACACAAUGACGGGGCCUUCUCUGCAGUGGCUUCCCAUCUGUGGAAUGCUCUCCCUAGGGAAGUUUGCCUAGUGCCUUCAUUAUACACCUUUAGGCGCCAGGCAAAAAUGUUCCUUUUUAACCAGGCCUUUGGUUGACUUGAUUGACAUCCUAGGCCCAUUUAAAAAUGAUGCUCUUUUUUGGGGGGGUGUUAUUGGGUUAUUGUUUUUAUUUUAAUUUUAUAUAUUGUGAUCUUUUCUGUGAACUGCCCUGAGACCUCUGGGUAUAGGGCGGUAUAUAAAUUUAAUACUACUACUACUACUACUACUACUACUACUACUAAUGCACUUGUACUAGGGUCCUGCUUGCUCCUUUCCCACUGGCAUGUGGGUGGCCAUUGUUAGAACAAGUUGGUGGAAUAGAUGGCCUAUUGACCUGACCAUCAGGGCUUUUUAAUGUUCUUAUGUUAAUAAUCAGUCAACAUCCCAUGGCCCCUGAGUCCUCACAAUCCUCACUGCACUGUUCUAGAUUCCCUCUCACAUAGGUUUUCCUCCCCAUAAUGUUGGGGUUCCAUCAAACCUGCUACUGAGACCAAUAGGGACGCGGGUGGUCCUGUGGUUUAAACCACUGAGCCUCUUGGGCUUGCUGAUCGGAAGGUCAGCGGUUCAAAUCCCCGUGACGGGGUGAGCUCCCAUUGCUCUGUCCCAGCUCCUGCCAACCUAGCAGUUCGAAAGCAAACCAGUGCAAGCAGAUAAAUACCGUAAUUUUCGCUCCAAAACACGCACUUUUUUGCUCCUAGAAAGUAAGGGAAAAUGCCUGUGCGUGUUACAGAGCGAAUGCACUCGACCGGAGCCAUGGCUGCCGUCAGUCAAGCAAAGCGGGAGCCGCUUGCAGGGCUUUGCACGGCUCUAGCUUUGCUUGCUUUACAGCCAGGAGGAGGGAGAGGGGCUGAGGAGGAGGGAGGGAAGGAGAGCCAUGGCAGUAAAGCGGGCAGCAGCGCUUACAUGGGAGGAGGGACAGACGGGAGCCAUAGCGAGCCGGAAAAGCGCCGUGUAGCCAGCAACAGCUGCUGCAGCCUCAGCUAGCAACGCUCUCUAAACGGAGCAAUGAGGCUGCAGAGGGACGGCAGGGCAGAGGAGGGCUCUGAGCCACGAGCGCAGAGAAAACCAGUAAAAAAGUUUUUUAAAAGGCUGCUGGGGACAGGAGGGCACGGGGUGAGGGAGAGGGGGAAAUUACGAUUCUCCCAGCGUCUCAGCUGAUCCGCUGAGCAGGACUUGGGUUGCAGGGGAUUCGCCAUUAGCUGCGUAAAGCAGCAAAGAGGCAGAGAAGGAGCAAAGUGGGAGAGGAAAGGAGCUGUUUACACUGCUGUAAGUGGCUGCUGUCCGGUUGGCUCCUUUAAAGCAACAGUGCUCUUUCCCUCCCCCCUCCCCGCUCAGCUCGCCGAAAAGCUCCUUUUCCACACACCCCACGCGAGCCCCUUCUCCCCUUAAACCCCUCUCCUGCAUCAUUAGCAGCAUCCUUCUCCACACACCCCACGCGAGCUCCUUCUCCCCUUAAACCCCUCUCCUGCAUCAUUAGCAGCAUCCUUCUCUAUACACCCCACGCGUGUUCCUUCUCCCCUUAAAUCCCUCUCCUGCAUCAUUAGCAGCAUCCUUCUCCACACACCCCACGCGUGUUCCUUCUCCCCUUAAACCCCUCACCUGCAUCAUUAGCAGCAUCCUUCUCCACACACCCCACGCGUGUUCCUUCUCCCCUUAAACCCCUCUCCUGCAUUAUUAGCAGCAUCCUUCUCCACACACCCCACGCGUGCUCCUUGUCCCUUGAAUGCUUUUCCUUCCCUCCCCACUUAAAACGUGGUUACAAAGCACGGAUCCACAUGGAUCCUCAGGAUUUUUGCACUGGGUCACCCCAAGUUCACCAUCAGAUCACAUAGCAUAUCCAUGGCUACAGCCUGCACCAAAACACACACCCACCCACUGUUUCAUGGGGCUGCAAUUGCGCAAAAACGUGGUUACAAAGCAUGGAUCCACAUGGAUCCUCAGGAUUUUUGCAUUGGGCUACCCCAAACUCACCGUCAGAUCACGUCUGUGGCCACAGCAUGAACCACAAAAAUCAUACAUCCACUGUUUCGUUUAGAAUAUUUUUUUCUUGUUUUCCUCCUCUAAAAACUACGUGUGUGUUAUGGUCAGGUGCGUGUUAUAGAGCGAAAAAUAUGGUAAGUACUGCUGUGGCAGGAAGGUUAAGUGUUUCCAUGCACUCUGGCUUCCAUCAUGGUGUCCCAUUGCACCAGAAGCGGUUUAGUCCUGCUGGCCACAUGACCCAGAAAGCUGUCUGUGGACAAACACUGGCUCCCUCAGCCUGAAAGCGAGAUGAGUGCCACAACCCCAUAGUUGCCUUUGACUGGGCUUAACGGUCCAGGGGUCCUUUACCUUUUACUUUUACUACUGAGACCUUUUUCUUGUGCAUGGCAUCAUUUUCACCGCAAUAAGGAUUCAUACUGGAACAAUGGAAGUAGAAGGGCUGAUAUCAGCAACAUGGCAACAGGUUACGUUCAUUGUUAAUGUAUGUUACCUAGAAAUGUUAGAAACAUGGAUGACUUUGGGUCAUAUAUAUUUUUUAAGGCAUUUCAUUGCUGAUGCUUCUUGGUCAAUUUCCCUUUGAACCUUUCCAAAUCCUAGGGCUUACCAGUAAAUGUCAGCUUCUCCACACAAUAAUGUUUUGACUAGCUGAAUGCUGAGGUGAGCUUCCACAGUAAAGGUGAAGAAUAAUCAAAUUAAAUGCCCUAGGGGCUUAUCAGCAAAGGGCAGUAUAUAAGUCAGAAGCAUAGAUGAUUGCGUAUGUUUUGGUUUAUCUUAGUUUCUCUCUCUCCCUCCCCAACCCCCAGUCAAAUUCAGUUUGCAACAUGGCUGCAGCAACUUGAUUUCUUAAAAAAAAGUCCUCAUGUAAAUUCACCAGCAUUUUAGUUUGCAUUUUCUCUAAAAUACCCAUUUUUGGACGUGAUCCUGCCUAACAUGCACAUUUUGCAAGCAGUUUGCCCUAAUUUAAUGCAUCUUUGUGCACAUUUUGGAUAGGAGAACUGCGUUGCAAAAUCUAAAGAAGUGCAAAUUUCAAAAGUAAGCUGUGUUUGCUUAUUAUCUUAUGCUUAUUAUCCUAGGAAGUGCAAAUUAAGCUGCUUUGCAUUAAGAUGCAAACGAAACCAAAUUCCUACCCUAUGCUUAUUCAAUGACACUCAUGGAGAAAAUUAUCUAGCUGAUUUGUUUGAUUGUUUCUAGGGCUGCAAGCUCUGACUAGAAUGGUUGAAAGAUUAAUUGACCAAAGCUUAAUCAGUGGGGAUGAGAGUUAACCGAUGCAGGCAAAUUUUAAUAACACUGGUUAAAGGUGUGCUAUUUAUUAUUAUUUUAGGCAGGCUACUGGAACACUGAAUGAAAAAUAAAAUAGUCCCCCUUUCAUACCCGGAAAAGGGCCUCUAUACUGAUAUUUGGGUAAAUAUGUGUACAUUUCCAAAUUUAAUCAAUCAGCUAAGAGCAGAUAACAUUUUAAAAAGAUAUAAAAUCUGUUUGGCAGCCCUAAUUAUUUCCUAUAAAUGCUCAGUGUAAGUGGAGGAAGGUCUUUCCUCCUUCCAUUAGGGCACUGCAGACAGUUAUGCUCUGAGAGUGAAUGCAAUGGAUGGGGUGGAGUUAUACUCCUUCUAAGUGUCAUGGUCAAACUGACUGUCAAUUUUGGGGUUCAGAAGGACAACUCUCUAGGUCAAAUAGGCUAGUUAUUCCAUGGGUUCUGAGGGGGAGGCUCCUAUUUGGCGUUCUUCAUUAUUAUUUAUUUAGUUAUUGCUUGUUCUCUUCUUCCUCAUUUAAUCCCCAAAGCAACCCUGUGGAGGUAGGUUAGGCUGAGAUGCAGUCCCUGGCCCCGUGAGCUUCAUGGUCGAGUGGGGAUUUGAACCCUGGGAUACAAGUCUUACACUCUAACCACUACAGCACACUGUUUUUUCAUCAUCUUCAUCUUCUUUCAUUGGGUGCCUCUUGGUCUUCACAUCAAACUGAAGCCAGUUAUCAAUUGGCGAAUGUAAAUGAAGUUGAAUUCUAAUAACAAGAAAUUAGCAAAGGUCCCUUGCUGAUGAAAAGUCAGUCUAUUUUGGGCGGAAUGUGUGGGCAAAUCAGUUCUGAGGUAGAAGCAGAAUCAGUGAUGGGGGCAGCUUGAGAUAUAAUUACGGUACCAUGGAGAUAACAUUUGUAUCUCAUUUGAAGCUGGCUGGCCCCAGACAUAAUAUUUUGGCAGGCAGGCAGGCAGGCAGGCAGGCAAGCAGUCUGUGCAUGUGUGUGUGUGUGUGUGUGUGUGUGUGUGUGUGUGUGUGAGAGAGAGAGAGAGAGAGAGACCUGUAAUGCUCAUACUAAGGAGCUAACAUUUUAUAGGCAGUGGAUUCAGCCUCUUCUUCACACAAUGCACACUCACUUUGUGGAAUUUGCCACCACAAUAUGUGAUAAUGGAGCUGUUAGACAAAAUGGCUUUAGGAGAGGGUUAGACAAAUGCAUGGCAGAUAUCAAUCGUUGCUGGUCAUAAUGGCUUUGCACUUCCUACACUGUCAGAGUUAGUGUGCCCCUGAAUACCAGUUGCUGGAAAUCACAGGUGGGGUGUGUGCUGUUGUGUUCAGGUCCUGCUUUGAGGCCUCCCUGGUUACCACUGAAAGGACAGGAUGCUGGGUUAGGUGGGUCUUGGGUCCGAUCCACUAGGCUGUCUCUUCUUAGGUUCUUAUGUUAUUUAGGAUUAAUCUAGGGAUGGGGAACCUGUGGCCAUUCAGCAGUUCUCCACCUCCCAUAUUCCCUGACCAUUGACCACUGCUGGGAACUGGAGUCCAGUGGCAUCUUGAAGACCACAGCUUGCCCACCCCGAAUUAGGCAGAUUCAUGAGUUCUGCCAAUGGCAAUAAACCAUAAGCCUCCAUUCUCAGAAGCACUAUGCUACUGAAAACCAGUUGCUGUCUGGUUUCCCUUAACAGGGCUACUGCAAGGCUGGGAUUCUCCAUCAGCUGGUGAGGUAGGGCAGCUGUCCAGAGGGGCAAGGUGCUAGUUUUUGUGCACACAUGCUGAUACCAGCAGUGAGCUAUCCAGUUGCACAACUUGUGCUGAAGAGGAAUUCCAACGACAAGGCUGCCCAAUUUCCCCAUUGCUGUUUAUUUCGGUCCUGGAGGUUUUGCUAAAUAUGAUCAGAAGGGACCGACUGAUUAAAGGUAUACAGGUCGGAGCUAAACAGUACAAAUUGAAAGCUUUUGCAGACGAUUUAGUAUUGACAUUACAGGAGCCAGAAUCUAGUACUAAAAGAGUAUUAGAAUUGAUUCAGGAAUUUGGUCAUGUGGCAGGAUUUAAGUUGAACAAGUUAAAAACUAAGGUGCUUGAGAAAAAUUUAACACUGAUUGAGAAAGAGAGGUUUCAAGAAGGAGACAGGUUUAACAUUGGUUAAGAAAGUAAAAUACCUGGGGGUUAACAUGACUGCUAAGAAUUUAAAUCUAUUUAAAGACAAUUAUGAGAAAUGUUGGUCAGAAGUGAAAAAGGAUUUAGAGAUAUGGUCAAACAUGAAGCUUUCCUUGUUAGGUCGAAUUGCUGUUAUAAAGAUGAAUGUAUUGCCAAGAAUGUUAUUUUUGUUUCAAUCAUUGCAAAUAUUGGACAAAAUGGACUGUUUCAAGAAGUGGCAGAGAGACAUUUCUAGAUUUGUCUGGCAGGGCAAGAAGCCCAGAAUAAAAUUUAAAAUAUUAACCGACGCAAAGGAUAGAGGUGGAUUUGCCCUGCCAGACCUUAAACUUUAUUAUGAAUCAGCAGCAUUCUGCUGGUUGAAAGAAUGGCUGCUUCUUGAGAACACAGACAUUUUGGAUUUAGAAGGUUUUAAUAAUGUUUUUGGGUGGCAUGCAUAUUUGUGGUAUGACAAGGUUAAAGCACAUAAAGCAUUUAAAAACCAUAUUGUCAGGAAAGCAUUGUUAAAUGUCUGGAUAAGAUAUAAGGACUUACUUGAAACCAAACCCCAAGGUGGUUGUCACCGAUGGAAGCAAAGGCUCAGAAAAGGCUCAAUAUGGAGGCCAAAUGGCCGAAAUAUUGGGAAAUUUUGGAACAAGAAGGAGACAAAUUGAAAUUGCAGAGUUUUGAGAAAUUAAAAGACAAAGUGCGAGACUGGCUUCGUUAUUAUCAGAUAAUGGAGGCAUACAAUUUGGAUAAGAAAAUUGGCUUCCAGGUGGAAAAAUCAAAAUUGGAAACAGAACUGUUAGAACCCAAAACUAAGAUUUUGUCAAAAAUGUAUAACUUGCUGUUGAAAUGGAAUACUCAGGAUGAAACGGUGAAAUCUGCUAUGAUUAAAUGGGCACAAGAUCUUGGUCAUAAUAUUAUGUUUGCUGACUGGGAACAGUUGUGGACCACAGGUAUGAAAUUUACGGCAUGUAAUGCCCUAAGAGAGAAUAUUAUGAAAAUGAUACACAGGUGGUACAUGACACCAGUCAAGCUUGCAAAAAUCUACCAUUCGCCCGAUAAUAAAUGUUGGAAAUGUAAAGAAAAUGAAGGUACAUUCUUUCACCUUUGGUGUACGUGCCCAAGGAUCAAGGCUUUCUGGGAGAUGAUAUAUAAUGAAUUGAAAAAGGUAUUUAAAUAUACCUUUUUGAAGAAACCAGAAGCCUUUCUCCUAGGCAUAGUCGGCCAAUUGGUGCCAAAGAAGGACAGAACUUUUUUUAUGUAUGCCACAACAGCAGCAAGAAUACUCAUUGCAAAGUAUUGGAAGACACAAGAUCUACCCACCUUGGAAGAAUGGCAGAUGAAGGUGAUGGACUAUAUGGAACUGGCGGAAAUGACUGGCAGAAUCCGAGACCAGGGAGAAGAGUCGAUGGAAGAAGAUUGGAAAAAGUUUAAAGACUAUUUACAGAAACAUUGCAAAAUUAAUGAAUGUUAGAAUGAUGUUGGAUAGAAACUAAGUGGUCUUUAGCUGAAAUGUUAUAAGGGAAUAUGAAAAAUGGUUUAUUAAUAGGUAAAAAUCUAAAAUUACAAUAUUUUAUGAUUAAUGAUUAGGAUACAUAAAGAGGGGAGGGAUUUGUUGAACUAAUAACUGAACUGGAAUACAAAAAAGGGAGGUGUGAGGAGGUCCUGGAAAUAAGCAAAUGAAGGCUAAGCAAUGGAAGGAAUGAAUUGCUUUUAACUAUUUUUACUUUGUAUUUUCUCUUUUUUCUUUUUCUUUUUGUUUUGUAAUACUUUGAAAAUCUUAAUAAAUAUCUUAAAAUAAUAAUAAUAAUGAAGAGGAAUUCCAAAAAGAUAAGAAGGGCUCUGGUGGAUCAUGCCAGGGGCUCAUCUUGCUCAGCACCCUGUUGUCACAGUGGCCAGCCAGACGCUUCUGAGAUGCCUGCAAGCAGGCCAUGAGCGCAAUAGCCUUCUCCCUUCCUGCAGUUGGUAUUCGGGAGCACACUACCUCUGACAGUGGAGGGUAAACAGAGUCAUUGAUUUAUUUCUUUGUUGCAUUUCUAUCUCACCUUUUUCUCCAAGGAGCUCAAAAUGGCAUUCAUGGUUCUCUCCCUCCUCAUUUUAUCCCCCACGGCAACCCCUUGAGGCUGUCCCACUGUGAGCUUCAUGGCUGAGUGGAGAUUUGAAGCCUGGUCUCUAACCAUUACCUCUCAAUAUGCACUCUGGCGCCAUUUUGUUUUCAUUUCGUCUGUCCUGAAUCCUUCAACAUUCAGCUUUAUUGAAGGACCCCAGGCUCCACCCUUAUGAGAGAGGGAGGAAAACGUAUUCCUAUAUAUAGUACACAAAAUUUCAUAUACUAUUUUUCAUAUCCCAACCCUAUUACUAGAUUAUUUUGUAAGCUUAAAAGCCCCUGAGGUGGUAAUCUUUCCCCACAGGGGAGUUGCUCUCUGACCCCUUCAUGUUCCACUAGUAAUAGUCAGGCAGCAAACAAAAUGUUUUAUAGCUACCCGUGUUUCCCCAGCAGUUUGUGGAACAUCUGUGAGGCCCCUCUCUGGAGGCCAUUUGACGUUAUGAUGUCUCCUCCUGAGCAGGCCUUUCUGUUGCCAGCCACACAAUUCUGCUCUGGGCUUCAGUUCAGGUGUGUUGUUGACUCUGCCACCUCCACUGCCGGAGGCGAUAUGCCUCUAAACAUCAGUUGCUGGGAAUCACAAGUCAGGAGAGUUGUUGUUGCUCUCGGGUCCUGUUUGCAUGCUUCCCAUGGGCAUUGGGUUGGCCAUUGCGAGAGCACGAUACUGGACAAGAUGGCCCACAGGCUUGAUGCAGCAGGCUCUUCUUAGGUUCUUCUGUCCUGGGGGAAAUACUAAUAAAAAAAUAAUUUAAUUAUUUAUACCCUGCCCAUCUGGUUGGGUUUCCCCAGCCACUCUGGGUGGCUAACGGCAUAUCUAAAAACAUAAUAAAACAACAAGCCUUAAAAACCUCCCAAUUCAGGGCUACUUUCACAUGUCUUCUAAAAAUUGUAUAAUUCUUUAUCUCCUUGACAUCUGAAGGGAGGGCAUUCCACCACAGGGAGGGCACCACUACCGAGAAGGCCCUCGGGUGAUUUUGGCAAGCCUUUAACUAAUAUUUCUGUGGUUGGUCUGGAUUCAUUGCAUCUCCUGAUUCUGCCGGCUCCCUGGCUGAGUCCUAGCACUGGUGUCCCACCAAGGUUUGUUUAUUCCUCCCGGCCCCUGUAGUUAUUGAGGUUUGUGGUCAGGCCUUCCUCCACCAUCCAGACUAUGCGGUCCAAACUAGGAUAUCAGGACUUUUGUUUCAGACUCUGUCUGAUGGGAAAUGGCAUCAUCUGCGCAGCAGAACAUGGCUUCUGGUUUCAAGGACUACUCGUGGGCUUCUGAGAGAUGUAGUCUGAUCUAGCAGCACCAACCUUACAUUUUAAUUAGCCACGAUAGGAAUAGAAACCUCCAUGUUACAGGCGCAGUAUAUUGCAGAAUAUCAGACACUGGAGACAAAGGAGGAAGGCUGUUGCUUUCAAGCCCUGUUUGUUGGCUCUUGACUGGUCACCAUGAUUGUUGGACAUCUGAUAGGUCACUGUGAGAAAUAGGGCACAGGGCUAGAUGGACCCUUGAUUUAAUCCAGCAGGGCCUCUCCUCCUCCCAGAGGGGAGGGGUUGUGAGCGGGAGCAGCUUCCCACAGGGGUAGGAAGGCGUACUCAGCUCCCUGCUCCUGAUAUCUUCUGCUGCCGUGGCCAAACCUUUCAGCUGGCCAACAGGGCCGGCUGGUGGGUGGUGCUAGCCACAUUUAAACAGCUGUGGCAGUGCUCAGCUCCCAGUCUGUUCCUGCUUUCUUCGGAUCUCCCUCCCUCCCUCCCUCCCUCUUAGGUCAGCUUCUUUUGCAUAUUGACCUUGCUAUGGACUUCAGAUGGUUGCCUUGGUUGCCCAAGGGGCCUGGUAGGACUUUUUUUAUCCAUUUGGCAAAUUGGCACCAGCCUCUCGUUUUUUUCGCCUACCUCAUAGCAAUUUGUCACAACUUUCUGGUAUUGGAAGUUUGGCAUUGGAAUAUGUGUGCUGUGUUGGAGGAUUGGGUAUGGGCCAUCAUCUACCCCUCCUCUUUUGGGUAUUCUGCUAAAGGAAUCCUGCGAUCGUGGAUCCUGUUCAAUGCCCUGCUGGUGGCUAGGGCCAUGGCACGACCCCUGGUGACAUCAUGGGGGAACUUCCAGAUGUAUUUGCAUCAACAAGCUCCUCCCAUUGGUUGUUAACCCUGAUAUGACUCCCUGCUGAGUGGGGUGGAGUCUUGUAUUGCUGUUUCAUCCAGUGCCUAAGCGAAUACUACUCACAUGCUGUAACCAAUAAAAGUUGUGGCCUAAUUUUGCCCAUUAACCUAAAAUAAUGUGUCUUUGUGUCUUAUUAUACUCCUAUGCGGGUGGUGGGUCCUCGACUCACAACAUUCUUCUGUGCAACUUGCUCCUGCAGGAGUCAGCAACAGUCAUCUACCUGUAUGGCUUUAAAAGAGGAUUGGACUAUUUGUGGAGGAAAAGGCUAUCAGGGCUGCUAACCACGGGGGCUAUGCUCUGCCUCCACAAUUGGGAGUGUGGAUGCUUCUGCAUACCAGUCACUGGAAGCCACAGGAGGGGCGAGGACUCUUGUGCUCAGGUCCUGCUUGUGGGUUUCCCACAGGCAUCUAGUUGGCUACUGUGUCGAUGCUGGACUAGACAGGCCACUGUCCUGAUCAGCAGGCUCUGCUUAUGUUCUUAUUCUCCUAAUGCAUAGGAGUCUUUAGGAAAACAAACACUACAUAGUAUUCCCAGUGCCCAAGCCUGAAAUAUAGUUUUUUACCAUCUUCAGUCUGGAAAAUAAUUAUUUUUAAAAUUAUCCAUGCGCAACCAACACACACAUCCCUGCUGUGAGCCAAAAUCAUGCAAACAGGUCACCAUGCACUUGAUUUUUAUAGAUUGCAAUGCUUUAAGAUUUUGUAGACCAUGACAAUCGCACAGGCCGGGCUGUGCAUGCACUAAACACCAGCUGAUGUAUCUUGGUGGGAGGCGGAAUGUGCCUGCAGGUUGCGUGAGGGUGGGCUGCGAGGCUGCGAUGCGUGGCCUCACCCUGUGAAUGUGAACAGGUGGUGGUUUGGUGUUUAAUAAUGUAGACUUGAGGAAUGUUCGGGACCUGCGCAAUAUAAAAAGAACAAUCAGAAUAUGCUAUUAUGGGUGCUGGAAUCUCAUUUAAAACCUAAUUAGGUCUAGUACAAAGCUAGAGUAGGCUUGUCUUGGGAUAAAGAGAUUGAUGUGUCUGCAUGAAAUGUGUGGUGCCUAUUCAUUCCUCUUCUCGUGAAAGAAUAAUAAUAAAAAAUAAGGUUUGUUAAGGAAGCAGCAUUUCUUUUUGUUAACUCUUCGUUUGUGUAUUGCCACUGUUUUGUGUGCUUCUGUGCCUCUUGAUGAAAAGGAUAAUUGUAUUUGUCUAGUUUUUUCUUCCUCCUAAGCAAGAGGCACCCAAAGUGCUGCCAUCCAGAAAUUUUGGAUUCUAGCCCCCAUAAGGUCAGAGAUCAUGAGGGUCAGCAGUGGUGAUGAUGAAGGAUCGCAGUGGAAGAGCAUCUGCCUUGCAUGGAGAAGACCCCAGGUUCAAUCCCUAGCAUCUCCAGGUAAGGCUGGGGGUGUUCCCUGCCUGGGGAGCAGCUGUCAGCCAGUGCCAACAACACAGAUUUACCAAUGGUCAGACUUGGUACAAGGCAGUAUCCGAUGUAGUCGCAGGUUCCCCACCCCCGUUCUACAGGGAGGACAAGGCUAUAGCAAUGGAACAUAGGAAACUGCUUUAGAUGGACUCCAUCAGGCUCAUAGCUGUCAACCUUCCCUUUUCUUGCAGGAAAUUCCCUUAUGUCAGCGCCGUUUCCCGCUGCUUCCCAUGGCUAUCCCGGAUUGUUAGAUAUCCCGUAGACUGUCUCUGGGACAGGUGAAGCUGCUGAUCCCUUAUUUUCAAAUCUGAAAGUUGACAGCUAUGAUCAGGCUACCCCUGUGGGGGUGACCUUAGGCAUAACUCUUUGCUAUGUUCAUUUGCCUACUAUAGGACUAGAACAGUGUUUCCCAAAUUGGGCCUCCAGCUCUUUUUGGACCACAGUUCCCAUAAUACAUGACCACUGGUCCUGCCAACUAGAGACGAUGGGAGUUGUAGUCCAACAACAGCUGCAGACCCAAGUUUGGGAAACAAUGGAUUAGGUAGACCAAUAAUCCAGGUAAGUAUUUUACUUUCCUUUUGGUUAUGCAUACUGGGUGGUAGCCAACUAGGUUUUACUUAGAGUAGACCUACUGAAGUGAAUGGACUGAACUCAGUCAUGCUCAUCAAUUUCAAUGGGUAUGCUCUUGAUUAAAACCUAGUUGAACACCACCUACUGUUUCCCCCAUUUUCCUCUUUUUAGCCUUUGCCCUAAAUAAACCUUUUGAUUUGGUUUUUGAGCCUUCACUGGUUUAGGAACACCAGAACAUGAGAAGUUGCUUUAGACCAAGUCAGACAUUGGGUCCCCCUAGUCCAGUAUUGUCUGCACUGACUGGCAGCUCUCCAGUGCUUCAGGCAGAGGCUCUCCCAGCCCUACCUGCAGAAGCUGGGGAUCGAUCCUGGGACCUUCUGCAUGCAAGGCAGAUGUCCAAUCAUCUAUCUAUGGGAGUCACUGGCCCUCUCCAUCAAUUGCCCAGGAGCCCCGGGGUGCCUGGAAACCAACCUGCAUCCUUCGCAGAUGAGUUGUGCAUCUUCCAGGUCAUGCUCUCAAAGCCUCUGGGUGCUGAAUGAGGCCCAGAGACCUCUUUUCACGUCAUUCCUUCCUAUUGCAUGCUGUAAUGAUAGAAGUUAGCCCCCUCUCUCCCACCACUAGGUGGCGCUGUGCUCAGAUCUAGCCAGCCCUCUUGUGUGCUCAGUUUCAACAGAGGCAGACAGGCAAUCAAUCUUUGAGUCUAAUGGCAUCUUGAGCAGUAUUUCUUUAUGGAUUGAAACAGUUAAGAUACCCAAUUAAUUAACAAUGAUAACAAUGAAUAAACAAAGUCACCAAAGAACCCAACCCGAAAUCACUGUUGGUUACAUGACAAGGAUGUCAGUUAUUUGCCACUAAUUGGAUCACAGUCUCUUGUCAGAGCAGGCUCCUUCCAGGUCUGUUACUAUGCACCCACUUUCCCUCAUCUCAGCUGCACACUCUUCCCUUCCCCUCCCUCCUCUCCCUCAGGUCUCUCUUUGCCAGCCGACUUUUAUUCCCCUUGAUGUUUCCCUUCAUGCUAAACUUCUCACUCACCCCACAUUCUGCAACGCCACUGAAGUGAGCAUUACAGCUGUACAGGCAAGCACAGUUUUCUCUUUUCUUUCUGUCCUCUUCAUCAUUCAGCUCCCAAUACGUGCAUGGUGCAGAAUGCCCCGGUUCAAUCCCUGGCAUCUCCAGGUAAGGCUAGCAGAUAUCACUGCCUGAAACCCUGGGGAGCUGCUGCCAGUCAGUGUAGGCAAUAUUGAGCUGGAUGUACUAAUGUUUAGUGGGCUCAUGCAAUGAAGAGCUGGUGUGGUACAGUGGUUAAAGUUUGCGAGACCAUGGUUCAAAUCCUCACUCAGCUAUGAACUUCACCUUGGACCAGUCGCUGCCUCUUGGCCUAACCUACCCCACAGGGUUGUCAUGGGGAUUAAAUGAGAAUGAGGGGAACCAUGCAUGUCUCCUUAAGCCCCUUGAAGGUGGACCAUAAACACCAAAGAUGCACCUCUUUGUCCUUUGACACCUGAGGUAUAUAUGUUCAGGCAUACGCCUUGUGAUUGUGAUUUCUUUUAAGCUGUUUUUGAUGUUGUACUUUAAAUGGUUGUGACUUGCUCUGGGAUACUAGGGCCACUAAAUGGGUUUAAAGGAAGCUACUGUUUCUAGGCUGCCCCUUCUAACAGGAGGGCAGACUGAAACGUUAUUUUGUGCCUCAAAGCUGCUACCUUUUAAAUUAUAGCCCUUCUCUGGGGAUGUGGAGGAGAAUCUGCUUGCCAGUGCAGCUAGUGUUGACUACAGCACUAUUUUGCUCUCUUUAUUUCAUUGUGUAAUCUGGUUUACCAAGUUAACCCCUCCCCCUUUCCUAAAGUAUCAGGGUCAGGAGAGGGUUAAGGAUCCCAGGAUGCCACAUUGGAAGAAGAACACUGGCAAAUGAGAGGGCUUCAAUGCAAGGGGCAUGCAAGGUCAUAAGGAGAUCCAAAAAGGUGCAACCAGGAAGUGAGGCAUCUCAAUGAGAUGCAAUUAUAUUUCAAGCCUCAUCUGGAGGACUGUGUCCAGUUCUGGAUACCACUUUUAAGAAUGGCAUUUGCAAACUGUUGCAUGUCCUGAAGAGGGCAGCUAGGAUGGUGAAGGGUCUGUCUGGAAAACCAAGUCCUAUGAAGAAAAGUGGAAUGAGCUGGGUGUAGGUUUAGCUUGAAGAAGAAAAAAUUAAGGGGAGACAUGACAGCUGUCUUCAAAUAUCUGUUGGGCUGUCAUACAGAAGAUGGAGGAGGCUUGUCACUGGUUGCUCCAGAGGGCAGAACUAGAAUUAAUGAGAGGAAAUUGCAAGGAAGCAGUUUCUAGGUAAUCAUUAGGAGAAACUACCUAACAAUAAGCUCUCUUUGGCAGGGGGAGAUGCUCCCUUGCGAGGUGAUGGGAUUAUCUUUGCUGGAGGUACUUAGGCAGAGGCUGAACUGGCAAUCUUCCAGGGAUGUUGUAGUUGGGAAGGAACAUGGGAAAGUUCAUGACUCGGUGCAUUUAUCUCUGUAUUGUCUUUACUGGCUGGGAGUGGCUCUCUAGGAUUUCAGGCAGGAGGUCUGUCCCAGCCCUAACUGGAGAUGCUGUUGAUUGAAACUAGGACCUUCUGCAUGCAGAGCAGAUGCUCUACCUAUGGCUAUGGCCCUUCUCUAAUAGAUGGCAGGAAGCACCUUACAGUAACCAGCAUUUCACUGUUUUAAAGGGGGGGGGGGAAAUGACAUGAUAUUUCUUGAGCUAUCACCUGGCUAGUUUUGAGGUUCAACUAAGUAGCUAACCUGAGAUAUCUCAUCAAUUCCAGGACCACAAAAGGCUUUGCACUUGCUCUCUUUCCUUUAAAUAAGCAUCACAAGCCACACCUUUAUACCAAAUCAGACAGGAUUCUCUCCCAGCCUUACCUGGGGAUGCUGGGACCUAUGACAUGCAAAAGAGAUGGUGUAUGGAUGAGCUACGGCUGUUUCCUCUAGUUGCAUCCUGCACUGCAGAUCCUGCAUUGAGCAGAGGGUUUCACUGUGUGACGUCUGAGGCUUCCAACUUUAAAUUUCUAUUAUUCAGGAGACAUUAAGCUGGCUGGAAGCUGAUAUACAUCCUGGCUUAGGGCUUACAUAUGUUCCUGUUUAAUGGAAUAACAACACAGCUCCCCCACAACCACUAAGGCCGCCAAAACUAAUCUGUAGCAUUUUUUUUAAAAGCCUAUGCUAAAAUAUAAUUACUUAAGGCGUUUUAGGAGCAAACAUUGCUUUUUCUUCUUCUUUUCACCCCCAGGCUUUGCCUACCCAUCUGGGUUUGCUUGGAUGGACAGAAUCAAGGCUGUGGUUGAUUUGUUUCUCCCUUAGAACUGCCCAACUUCAGUUUGAUGCACGCUUGACUUCCCCCACAUGCUGGAGGAGCCAAGAUGUGUCAAGAACAAGGAAUUGCUUUUGUAUGAAAAGGAGUUUCUCUUGUGCAGGUCUUGAAAUGCAUUUUAUAUAGAUAAAUCUGGGUGUCUCCAUUUGAACCAGGAUGACCUAUAAUGAACAACACAUCCCACCUAUAAACCUCACUGAAAACAAGAAGGGGAGGAGCUUUCCUCAGCCCAAGGGCCACAAUAUCUUCUGGGGGGGUCACAUGCCAGUGGGAGGCAGGUCCGAAGGCAGUCAUGUGGGAGAGCAGCAAGUCUUGUUGUUCUGUACCUGCUUUCACCAGCAGAUCACAGGGUGGAUUGCAGCAGUCUAAAAUUCAGUAUUAAAAACAUUUAAAACAAAUUAGUCACAGGAAUUGGGACGGCCCAGAAAACACACACCUCAGAUUUCAAAUAUCAGGGUAAAGAGACACGUCUUCAACAUUUGUCAUAAGUUAUAUAGCGAGGGUACCUGAUGCACCUCUGCGGAGAGGGAAUUCCACAACUCAGGAGGAGGAGGGCCUCUCCUGGGCCACUGCACUUCUGAGGGUGAUGGAACUACUAAGAGGCCCCCACCUCUGCUGACCUUAACACCCCCAUCAACCCCAGUCUCCCCUUGGCCAGUCCCUCACCUGCCUGCCUUUCUGCAGCCAGCCCAGGCAGGUGGCACUUCCUGCCACCUACCUCCUCCUCCUCCUCACGCUUGGUCUAUUGACUCCAUGGGUCUACUCUGAGAAUGACUAAUGGUGGAAAUGCCAAUUUUAAAAACCAUUUAUUUAUGACCAAGAUGGGGAACCUCUAGUCUGAGGGCUGAGGGUGGCCUUCCAGGAGUCUCCCGAGGCUAAGUACUUCACUGGCCAAGGAGGAGAUCAUCUGGCAGUGGGAGGCUGUGGCAUGAUGAGUGGGUUUGUGCCUUGAAGGUCUCCAUGGCUGGAGGCUGGCUGAUGUCUGGCGAUGGACCUGGUGGAAGCUGGCAAAUGUUGGGAAAUAGAAGCCAGUAGCAUUCACAUUUGGAUAAUGGUGGACACUGCAAUUCCUGAAACAGACUGUUGUUUGGGAUGUAAGCAGGUUCAAACUCAGCUUUGGAAGCCCGUUGACAGAAACUGUGUGGAUAUUUGUGGACUGAAGCUGGGGGCAUAUACGUGUGUGAAUGGAGAGCGGCUGAUGAGUGAAUGUGUCUCCAUGUGUGAAUGGGAGGUUUUGAAUGCUGUUGAGGCGAAUGGUAUGUGUCUGGAUGCAUUGGACUGGCAUAGGUAGCCCACCAGAUGUGACAUUCCUGGGAAUUAUGUGACAGGAGCCAGCUCCAGGUACAGGGUAGAAGGAUGAACCAGCCCAGUGGCUAUUCAAAGGUGGAAGCCAGUGGAAGUUGGCAGGCUGAACUCAGGAAUGAAACUGCCAGGCAGAUGCCAGUGAAAGUCCCUGAUGAUAUUGUUGGGUGGUAGCCCUCCCUGUCCCUGCAUUUGCCAUGGGAGAUCUAGCAUCCCAGUUCUCUGGAGCAACCCUCCCUAGUGCACACGAAGGGUGGACUACAAAUGUUUUUAAGGAGCAACCCCAGCCUGAGGAGGCAGCUCAGGGGAACAGCUGAAGACCCAGGAGGGAAAUCUAGGUCUAUUCCCUCCUAUCCACUUGAGUUGCCAACACUUUGUUUUCUUGGGGCUCCUGUGCCUGCCUCACCUCGAUAGCUGACAGAAAAAAAUAAAAAUAAAACAACAAUUGAUUUUGUCACUCGGAACCCAACAUCACCAAUAAACUUGUAAGGACCCCCAGAGGUUAAAAAGACCACUUAGGUGAACUGUGCCUGCUGGCAAUUAUUCCCUCAGGAAUAAUUGCUGUCAGCUUUUAGAAGAAAGAGACAAGGUGCUAUGUAGAGGCUCAGCAUGUGAGCUACAAUGAGCCACAGAGACUUGAGUUUUAUUCGCACCUCUGCUCUGAAACUCAAGAAAGAGUUGUGGGGAGGGGGAUAGGCUCUUUCUUCAACUCCCCUCCCUCCCACCCACCUAUUUACAACACCAUCCUUCCUGACACUUCUCUAACCUUUCUGAAAUCCUUUCAGCUGGCAUGGUUUAAUAUUAAGCGUCUGCCCUUCUUCAAGGAAUAUAGGACCCUGACUUGUACCCAUCAAUAUAUGGUGCCCAUGGUGAUCCCAAAGUCCUACUGAGUUGCCAGCACAGUUCCCCAUCCUCCCCACUCCCCAACACUGACAUGGGAUCUGAAGUCUAAAGCUGAGGAAGCUGUUCCAGGCUGUGUACACCCCAUACAUUUAUAGCACAUUUAUAGCACAAGCCAUGAGGGACCACAGAGCAACUAUGUGAAGACAGAUUGGUGAGGGGGCAGGAGCCACGAGGAGAGUCAUGGCAGAGACAGAAAACAGAGGCGCCAUGAGGCGAGAGGUGGAGUCUAAAGUUGGCUCAGCCACAAGGAGAUGAGACUUGUUUCUGGGUAACAAGAGAAGAAGCUGCAUUUGUGUUUAGAUGAGGAGAAUCCCGGGAGAGAGCACCAUGGUCCCGCUUUUAAAGAGUCAUGGUUUCAACUCAAAGAAUCCUAGUUAUACCUGGAUUUUAGGACUUCACACUGGGGACUGUAGUUUGUUAAGGGUGCUGAGGGUUGUUGAGAGGACCCCUAUACAUCUCACAGAGCUUUAACUUCCAGAGUUCCUUGCAAAGAAGGAUUGCCAGUUAAGCAACUCUGAGAAUUGUAGGAUUGAUUGCGAGGAGUUUCAUAGGAUGCUUCACAGAAUGAGAGCAUAAAGGGUAUGUGUGAAUGGCAUCAACCAGCUGACUUGCUCCUCAUGACCAAGAUGCAAAAAAAGAGGAGACAGUUUCAAUGCAGAAUCCAAACCCCCCGUACUUGAGAUUAAGGUAGAGCUUCCAGUGGCUCAAAAAUUUAGUCCAGCCUGAGUAUUAUAAGCCUUGGAAUGAAACCCUUCUCCUAAAUUCUUAGUAGGGCAAACUGUGGUUGCUUGGUGGUGAAAGAAGGAGGCUCUGCUAAUCCAUUUACAUUUUUCUUUCUUUUUAAAAAAGUGGGGCACAGGCCAAAAUGGAAUAGGUGGAAAACAUAAGCCCCCCCCCCCCACCACAACAGUACCUGCAUGGGACACGCCAUGGAAACAAUUCUGUCAAUUUCAGUGGGCUUUGAUUGAAGCGGCAAAAGGUCAUUUUAAUUCGCAGCAGGUUAACGUUUUGAUACCCGAAAGCUCUUCCUGAAUGAAAAUAGUAACAGCCAGAAGAGAUUAUGCUGCUUAUAUUUAUGAUAACCCCAAGCAACCAUUCACAACCCUUGUCCCAUGGAACUGGCAAUGCCUUGAUGCUUCUUAUCUACAGCCCUCUAGAUAAGAGAGACUUUCACCAGUUAGCAUUCUUUCCUGUCAUUGGGGGGUGGGACUUCUCUGCAGAGGUUAUGUCUGUUCAUUCUAGAGCCUAAGGAAAUGUUUCGUCCAUUAUUUUAUUCUUGCACAGCAGGGGCAGAGAACCUGUGGCCCUCCAGCAGUUCUUGGAUUCCAACACCCCUCAGCCCCAGUCAGCAUGGUCCAAUGGUCAUGGAUAAUGGGAGUUGAAGUCCAGUAACAGCUGGAGGGCCACAAGAUCCACAUCUCUGGCUUAGCAGUAUUUGAGCUCACAGUUAGUUGCUUUGUGGGGAGACUUUUUGGUUCAAAAGGUGGGACGCAAUAUUUUAAUUACCAUUUUAAAUGACAUUAGAUCUUUUGAAACUUUGCAAUGUCGUGAUGUACCAUAUUCAACAUUCUGUUCCUCGUCUGAUUUGGAAGAAAGUCGAUACAUUUUAAAUGUCAACAUGGAAAUGAAUUCUGAUCAAAGGAGGGCAAGCUAAAUAGGAACACACGAAGCUUCUACAUACUAUGUCAUAUCGCUGGUGCACUCAUCCCAGCCUUUUCUACUCUUGGCUGGCUGUACCUUUUCAGAGCCUCAGACAGAACGCUCUCUUCCAGUUCUGCCACUUGAGUUCCUUUUAAAUUGAAGGACCUUUUGCAAUGCAAAGCAUGCACUUGAGUUGGCAAUUCCAGCUGUGCCCCUUCCCUGAGGUUAACAAUGAUUCAAUCUUUCCAUAUACUACAGAAAGAGGAGAAAUUAAUUUGGUUCCAGUUUUCAAGUUAACUUGCCCCGUUUUCAUGUCUUGAACUGAAAUGUCACAUAAAAUUCAGCUAUCCUUUGGAAUUCACUCUUCUGAAUUUUCUGAUACAUAUCUUUCUUUUUUUAAGCAUACCAAGAAGAAAGCAUUGGAAGGUUAGUGUAUACUGAAACACACAGGUUUAGUGGAAACAAUGGGCAAAAUGGCACUAGAGGAAAUUGCUUCGUGAGGAAUGUCUGUCUUAGGCAACAUUGCACACAAAAAUGUGCCUAUUAGGAGGAAUACACGUGGAAAUGAAUACACAUUUUCUGUUCAGUUCAUACGUUUAGUGUUCCAUCCAAAGACCAUACAAAACUGUAGCAAUAUUAUUAAUAAAAUAAUACAGAACAUACAUAGCUUGAUUUCAGAUUAAACCUCCGAAUCACCAAAACAACUUAUAGUGAUUUUAUCCAACUCCUUUUUCCUGAUUUUAUUUUAUGCAGCCAGUGUACAGAAGGCCACUCUCUGUAUUACAAAGCUAUUAGUGCCUCUCGAAAGAAACCAAACAAUUUAUGCUGGGGUGUAUCUGCUUGCAUGUGUAAAGUGAACUCUUGGGUCUCUACACAAGGGGCAGCCUAACAGAUAAUGAGUAACGUUUUGUACCUGAGGUUGUCCACAGAUACAAAGUUUGUCUGUGUACAGCCAUCCAAGACUGCAGUGAGCAUCACUUGGAAAUGCAGCCCGAGGAAACUGGUGAAAGUUUGGUCAGAUAACUAGCUGUAAAAUGCCCUGUUCUUGAGAGUGCAUACCAAGGGGGAAAAGCUGUGUUUGUAUUUAGCUGUAGGUCCCUUCUGAGUUCUAUCCAGAAGAGGCAAUCCCUUAGCUGACAUUUAUUCAAGGCCCAAGCAGAGCUCAGUUCUGGAAAUUAGUAAUAGUCUAAAACAACCAACUCUGGUAUCACUCAAUUCCAUAUAGCACAGUGCAGGAAAACACUCAAUGGGCAUAGUAGCAAUUCUUUUAAUAUACUUUAACUGAGUGCAGUCUGCUAUUGCCUUAAUUGUUGGCUACUCAGAUUAAGUAUGAAGAAGAGCUGCUGAUAUUCUUGAUGAUAGAGAGUAUAGCUUCCCAAAAAAGUUAUUCUGCAUUGUUUCCAAAACUUUAAUGGAGUUCAGGACAGAGCUCCAGAUUUCAACAUCGUAGAGUAUUUGACUUAGCACUUUGCUACCAAAUAUAUUUAGGGCAAAGUAAUUCAGAAAUGGAUGAAUGGAAUUUAAGACUGGAAUAAUGAGAAACUGGGCAAAACUGAAAGAGACAAGAUUGUGCUUCCCUACCCGUGCUUACUGUCCCUCUAGUGACGGGUUCUCUUCUCCUGUUCUUUUCUCCUGAACCUAAAGAUAAGAAGAAGCAAAAGAAUUUCAUUUAAUUUCCCCCUUCUCACCCCUGAAAGUGCUUUGCUAGAUUUCAGCCACCAGCAUUUAGGUGGGUGGGGUUUUUUUGGGGGGGGGGCGUUGUUCUUUAAGUUUGCUUUGGGAAAUUAGCCAACUAUACAUAUUUCUGCAUUGCAGAGGUUUGGACUAGAUGGUCCUCAGAAUUUCUUCCAAGUCUAUGAUUUUAUACUAUUGCUAGGAACACAGCUGAAUGAGUUAACCCGUUGCUCAACCUUUAGGUACAUGCAUUGCAUGCAGUGGAUAAGAGAAUUAGACAGCAGGUGAUGGGAAAGAUCCCCAUCUUAGAUGCCAGAAAGUCACUUUUAGCCAGAACAGACAAUACUGAGCUCAAUGGACAAAUAAUCAAACCAAGCAUAAAGAAGUUUUCUAUUUUUCUGCAUAACAGAUUGCCAAGAUCUGAACAAGGCAUCUCUUCUUUCAGCAAGAUGGUUCAUGAAACACUUCCUUUUAGGGCAACUGGUCCAUGAAACUUGCAUACCUGAUGCUAUCGUGGAGACCCCACACCAGCAAUGCCUGAAGAUGCUGGACCAGAUAGAGGUUUUUGGAUAGCAUGUUGUGGAUACAAUUUGCAGCACCAAAUCCAUUUCCCGUUCUUUUUCUCCACCCCCCUCCCUUGCAGUGAGCAGCUGAACAUUAAAUUGGCAGCAAAAUCCAUUGCAGACCCCCCCAGAGACUCAUUAAAGACCCAGAUAACUCUGACAUUGAGCACAAUGGCUUCUGCUUGAUCGGCUAUGCCAAUUUCUCAGAUGUACAGAAGGCAAGAUGGGAAACAUAUUUCUUAUUAGGGCACACAUGUAAUGAGGCAAUUGCUAAAAUGCUCUGGACAAGACUACCUAUUAGAUGUUUCUUGCAGUAUGACUACUUUUGAACCAAGUGGGUUUCAGCUCAAGGUGGAAUGAAUUGACAUUUCAGUUUGACACUGUUACUAUUGGUGGCAGUUAAGUAAAUGAUCCUGUUAGGAUCCCAUGCUUUAAAAAAACCAUAUCCUAUGACAAAAAUCUAAUAAAUAAUCAUACUGACAGGAUGUGUGUCAAUGUACUUUUUGUGCUUCUGUGACUUUACUUUGCACACAUGCAGUUUAGCAGCUGAGUCAGAGGAGAGGUUGGAAUAUACAGUAACGCCCACUAAGGGUGGUUGCUCCCCCCCCCCCGUCAAGUUUCUAGCCCUCUUGAUUGCAGAGGAAAGCUUUGAAAAGACUGAACAGUGUCCCUGUAGCUCAGUGGUAGAACAUUUGCUUUGCAUGCAGAAAGUCUAAUCUCCAGCGGCGUCUCCAGAUAUGGCUGAAAGAGGCCCCCACACAAACCCGAAAGUUGUUGAGCUUUCACAAAAACGCAAAGAGAGAGAGAGAGAGGUUUCUCGAUUGAUUUGCCUAAGAUCUGCCUUUCGAAAAGUUUCCCCGGAUGUCUGGUAACAUCUAGGGAAAUCCAGACGUAUGGCAGCCCUAACAUAGACCAAUGGUCUGACUCUGUAUAUGGCAGCUUCGUAUGUCCUCCCCCCCCCCAUUCCCAUAGGUUCCCAGUUGUAGAAAGUGAGCCAGGCUACCCCAGACUGUUUCUGUCUCAUUGGCCAGUUAUAUCCCUGCAUCCGUCUCUAAUCAAACAGACCAAUAUUUAAUUUCUACAGAGGGCAAACAAAUGCAGUUUUCUUUCCUCCUCCUUCCUCCUCUCAAAAUGGCAUCUGAGUCCCCUGAUAGCCAUCUGCUUCUCUUCCCAUCUGCGAUGGAUGUAGUGUUAUAAUUGGACAUACGCUUUUGACACCUACUAAGAAGAGCUGCCAGCUUCUGUAGCCAAUUUUAAGCCAAGGCUUCUUUGCUGUCCUCCCAAACAGGCUUCUUAUUAAGGGACUGUCAAAAGGUGGGGUGAGUGAAGAGUUAACAAGGAUUCUUGUCUGGACUAAAAAGAGAAAAAGCAAUUAUCGCCCCCCUCCCCAUUGCCACUCCAACAUCUAUUGUGUUAGGCAUAGGUGGCUCCUCUUGCUGAUAAAAACUAUGCAAUGGAAAGUUUUCCUGCUCAAGCCCCAUUGAAAUGAAUGGGGGUUGCUCAAGAGCACUGCUGCAUUGACCCAUAAUGAAUUGCUUCAGCAGCAACAAAGCCACGAGUUACCAUGAUUUGCAGGCAAGGAUGAGGGAAGAUAUUCAACUCAGUUCACAUUUAUUUCACUUUUUAGUUUUAUUUCAGCAAUUUACAUACCGCAUAAUCACAGUCAUCUCUAAGCAGUGCACAGGAGACCAGAUGUAGAGGGCAAAAGAUGAGUGAAAACUGUGAAAUUAGAGUUGAUUUUAAAAACCUGCUGGGAUAAAUAAUAAUAAAAAUAGGCCUUCAGGAAGUGCGAGAAGUUCAACAAGGAGAGGACCUGUCUGACUCCAACUGGAGGCAAAUUAAACAAAAUUGGACCAUAAUACUGAACACAAGACUCUUUUGGAUCUAAGCUGUGCAUCCAAGCUAUGGGGACCAUUAACAGUGACUCCGCUGAAAACCUAGGAAAUUGAACAGGGAUAUAAAAAGCAUCAGGUGGUCCUUGUAAAUUAAUACAGGAACCUUGAACCUAACCAGCUAGUAUAUGAGCAACUAGUUCAAGCUUUGUAGAGUUAUGUGCUGGCAAUUAUUAAAUGGACACAAGAUUUGGGGCAUAAUAUACAAUUUGAAGAUUGGGAAAAAUUAUGGAAAGUGAAUCUGAAAUUCACGGAUUGCAUAUUGUUGAAAGAGAACUACAUGAAAAUGAUGUAUAGAUGGUAUAUUACACUGGUAAAAAUGGCAAAAAUGUAUAAAACAGGAUCAAAAAAUUGUUGGAAAUGCAAAGAGAAGGAAGGCACUUUUUACCAUAUGUGGUGGGAAUGUAGAGUUGUAAAGAAUUUUUGGGAAAUGAUAUAUAAUGAACUGAAAAAAAUGUUUAAAAUGGCAUUUGUAAAAAAGCCAGAAGCCUUUUUGCUGGGUAUUUCAGGUCAAGAACGGCGAAAAGAAAAAAGAAAAAUAUUUAUGUAUGCUACAACAGCGGCAAGCGUUUUGUUAGCACAAGGCUGGAAGACAGGAGAAGUACCAACGAAAGAACAAUGGCAAGAAAAAUUGAUGAAAUAUGCAGAAUUAGCAAAGUUAACAGACAAUGUACAUGAAAAGGACAAUAGUGAUUUUAAAAAAGAUUGAGAACCUUUCACAACUUACCUAUAGAAACAACAAAAAGAGAUGGACUCAUUGGCAGGUUUCACAACUUUAAGCAGAAUAUGAUGAAAGAUAGUGUAACAACAUGUAUAGUUAUUUAACUUGCAGAAGAUAACAAGUAAUGAAAUAAACCAGAAAGGGAAGAUGAAGGAAGUCAAUGGGAGGGUGGGGAUUGUAAAAUAUAAAAUUUGGAUAAUUGUAUUUGCAAUUUGCUAUAACAAAGAAACCCAAUAAAAAUGCAUUUUAUUUUAUCUUAUUUUAUAUAAAAAUACCUUGCAACCUUUGCUGUCACCUUCUCAUCUUGAUCUCCCAAGAGAAAGGACACUGUGGCAGUGGCUGGGCGACCUGGAAUGGACAAUGAAAGAAGGGUGAUAAUCUUAUACCUCAAGUCUUUAUAAAGCAUGCAAGCCAGAAGGGCAUGUGCCACCGAUUCAUUACUGCCACCUCCACAGGGACAUAAGCGUUUUUUGUGUGGAAUCUGUUGGAACCAUCCCUCAAGUACAGCCCAGGGCAAUACAUUCAAUCUUGAAAAAGUAAAAGCGCAUCUAUAUUUUAGAAUUGCUUGGUUAUACAGGUAGGGUGGCAAUGCUUGGUGUAAGGGCUGCCAACGUGAAUAAAAUAUUCGGGCCCCCAAAUAAGUCCUGCCCUGUAUACUCGAUCAUGUGACACAGCACAAAAACACAAUUUGAAUGGCAAUGCCCAUCAACUGGGUGGGGGGGCAGCCCCCUCAGAUACUUUAUUGGGGGGUGCGCAAGGGACCUCAGUCCCAGGGAAUUGGCUCCUAUCCUUGGCAUCUCUGGGCCAGGACCAACUGUAGGCCCACACUGAGUGCAUUACAAUAAUUGAGACGAGGUUAAAGGCAAUUUUACCUAAUUUGCACUUUCUGAAACAAUCUGUGGACUGAAACACAGCUACUCUUUGAAAUUUACUCCUUUAUGAUGGUCUGACUCACUACAAGUUAUGGUUACCAUUAGGUCUGAUCCUGCCUGUGUGAUCUCCAAAGAUACAGUAUGAAUCCAACUCAUAGCUAGUGACUGGAAUUCUAGAAUUGGAGAGUUGGAAGAAAGAGAUACCUUGAGGUAUCUAGUCCACCCCCUGCAAUGCAGGACUGGGCAGCUGUCCCAUAUGGGGAUUGAACCUGCAACCUUGGCAUUAUCAGCACUAUGCUCUAACCAACUGAGCUAUCCAGGCUAACUUAAUGUGGUAGACCAAACAAAAACCUGCAAAGUUGACCGACUCAGUCCAAAGUUUUGGAACUGAGACCAGGCAAGGGUGUGCUUCCUUCCAUGAGUUUGUGAGUUCCAACUGAUGGUUCAUUUCUCAGUGGCAGAACAUUUGCUUCACAUGUAGUAGUGCUGGGAAUGUCCCCAGUUUGAGCCCCUGGAAAGAUGCUGCCAGUCAGUGCAGGCAAUACUGAACUAGAUAAGCUGCUUCUGUGGACUGCAGCAUCCCCAUAGCUCCAGGCUUGAGAGAACCUGGAGCAUAGUUCUGUGGCGAGUUGUCUGGAACUUGGAACAGCCCUAUUGAUUGUGGCAUGCAAGAUCCUGGCUGGGGAGGCGAGUGCUGACUGAGCGCCUGCCUUACCAAAAGAGCAGGAAACCAGCUUUUAAUAUGGUUUGCUUGGCCGACUCCCUUCAUGCAAUAUUGAAAGGGCGCUUUCAGCAAUGCAUCACCAGCUUGGCUGUGGCCCAUAAUGGAUUACUGAUCUCUCUUAAAUGCGACAACUUUGCUCCCAUGUUCUAUUAUGCAGUGGCUCCUUCCCAAGCAGCUCAGGUUCACCAGUGGGCUUGGUUUAAUUACAGGAUGUGAGCGAUGCCAAGUGCAAAGACUCUUUGGCACCAGGAUAUUCAAGCCGGGCCAACAUAGUACUUGUUAAUUUAUUGAUCCAUUAAUUUUAAGACUGGGCGGGGGAGGGGGGCAAUAUGUACAAUACCAAUUACUGGGCACUUUGCAUUCCUAAAAGUAAAUAUAUCUUGAUCAAGUGAAACACUGGCACACAGAAUCGGUGUCUGGACAUUUCCUCCACUCACCCACUUCCAAUUAUGGCGACUGUUUGCAUUUAGUAAUCAUAUGGAAAUGCCAAGGUUUUGUAACGUGAUGCUCCGCUGAAGCGAAGGUACGGUUGCCGUAUGUCAAAAAGUGAAAAUCCGGACAGAAAAAAAAAUGGUUGGCAAAGUUUUUGAGCUAUUUUUAAGGAAAUUCGCCAAAAUCUACACUUCCAACAUGGGUUGCCAUGCAUCUGGAAGUUGCCGUUCCCACCUGCACACUGUUUCCGACAGCCAAAUCCCAGCAAUGUCCAGAAAAUUUCGGACGUAUGGCAUCCCUGUCUUAGGUAAACCCCCACAUUCUUACCAGUUAAAGCACUAUAAUACCACUUCAAACAGUCAUGGCUACUCCCAAAGAAUUCUAGGAGGUUUAGUAUGUUAAGGGUGCUGAGAGUUGUUAGGAGGUCCUUAUUUCCCUUUUAGAGCAACAAUUCUCAGAGCGGUUUAACAAUCAACCUCUUUUCACAGGGAACUCUGGAAAUUGUUGCUCUGGGAGGGGGCUAGGGAGUUUCUUAAGAACUCUUGGCACCCUUAACAAAAUGCAGUUCCGAUGAAAAUAGGGGCGUCCUAUUCCAUAAUGAUGAUGAUGAUGAUUUUAUUAUUUAUACCCCACCCAUGUGAUUGGGCUGCCCCAACCACUCUGGGUGGCCUCUAACAUAUAUUAAAAUAUAAUGUAAUAUAAAAACUUCCCUAUACAGGGCUGCCUUCAGGUUUAGUCUUCUAAAGGUUGUAUACUUCCUUAUCUACUUGGCUCAGGAGUAUCUCCAUACUCUCCAACAUUUCUUCAGUGAAAAUAGGGACGUCCUAAGGCAUGGGUAGGCAAACUAAGGCCCGGGGGCUGGAUCCGGCCCAAUCACCUUCUCAAUCUGGCCUGUGGACGGUCCGGGAAUCAGCGUGUUUUUACAUGAGUAGAAUGUGUCCUUUUUUCUUUUUUUUAAAAUGAUAUUUAUUAAAGUUUCAAUAAAAGAUUAAACAUAAAACAUAAAAAAGAAAUACACAAUUCAAAAUGUAGAAUACAUAAUCUAAAAGAAAGAAAAAAUAAAGAAACAAGAAAACAAAAGACAAAAAAGAAAGUAAAACAAUUAAAAACAAUAUCACCUUUUCGUCUCCAUUUUUAAAUUUACUUAUUUUCUGGACCUCCUCGUACCUCCUCUUUUGUAUUCCAGUUCAAAUUGUUUGUCCAGCAAUUUCUUUCCUCUUUUUUUAAUCCCAAUCUUACUCUUAAUAUAAUAUAACAUUAAAAUUUUACCUUUUAAAAACCAAAUUUCCAUUUCCUUAAACUUUUUUAAUCCUAAUCCUUAAUCUUAAUCUAUCCAUAAUUUUAAAUCCUAAACAGCUGGAAGUGAAUGUGUCCUUUUAUUUAAAAUGCAUCUCUGGGUUAUUUAUGGGGCCUGCCUGGUGUUUUUACAUGAGUAGAAUGUGUCCUUUUAUUUGAAAUGCUUCUCUGGGUUAUUUGUGGGGCCUGCCUGGUGUUUUUACACGAGUAGAAUGUGUGCUUUUAUUUAAAAUGCAUCUCUGGGUUAUUUGUGGGGCAUAGGAAUUAGUUCCCCCCCCAAAAAAAAAUAUAGUUCGGCCCCCCACAAAGUCUGAGAGACAGUGGACUGGCCCCCUGCUGAAAAAGUUUGCUGACCCCUGUCCUAAGGAAAAGUGGGGCGUUCCUGGAUCAAACCAGAAACUGGGGCAGCUUCUGUAUAUUCAGAACUGUCCCUGGAAAAUAGGACCACUUGGAGUGUCUGGAAUUCUUUUGAGGAAGCCACAACUGUUUAAAGUGGUAUCAUAGUGUUGUAAAUGUAUGGUCUAAAAUUUGUUGAAAGCUCCCUGCACACAUAAGAUUAGUAUUUCAGGGAGAGAGUUAGGCUACAGCCCUUCUCCUUGACAGGACCUCUUCUCUGUGCAGGAUGGGAACCGUGAGCUGAUGCCAUUUAAACAUGUAUUUUCACCCAUCUGCAAUACAAAGUGUUGGGGUCUAAAGUGCUUCUUGGUGCACGCUGAAUGUCAUUGACUUCUUGCUUCACAGGACUGAGCCUUAUUACAAACAACAUACUUGGCUGAUAUACUCUGGGGCCCAGAUAUAACUGCCCACCACAUCAUUAAUUGGCCACAAACCUGAGGCAUUGACCUCAUGAGUAACUUGGCAAUGCUCUUGUUUCUCCAUAGCAGCCAUAGCAAUUAUAGGGCAGGAACAGAGAGGGCUGCCCUAUAUCUUUAGGCUAAGAUACCAUGCUUUCUGAAGUGGGUAAGAUGGUAGCUCCACAUUUCCAAAUAGGGGCUAUAGCUCAGCAGCGGGGCAUCUGCCUUGCAUGCAGAAAGUCCCAGGUUCAUUUCCUGGCAUCUCUAGGGAGAAACUCUUGCCUGAAAGCUUGCAAAGCCACUGCAACUUGAUGCAGAGAUGGGCCAGUGAUCUGAAUCAGUACGAGGCAGUUUCCUGUGUUCCUCUGAUCAACGUUGAUUAGGUCAGAGGCAAACAACUGAACUGGUGAAGCACUGAGUCAACACUAGAAAUAAAUAAAGAGGUAAUGAAGUCGCAAAUUUAUUAGCAGAUAAAAGAACCAUAACUCAGUGGCAGGACAUCUGCUUUGUACGCAGAAGGUCCCAGGUUCAGUCCCCAGCAUCUUGAGAUAAGACUGGGAGGGACCUCUGUCCAAAGAGCUCCUGCCAGUUAGACAAUACUGAGCAAGAUGGAUCAAUUAGGGCUGCCAUACAUCUGGAUUUUCAAAGGCAGAAUUGACAUCUGGGGGAAUUUAGCAGCACUUUGUCAUGGAAAAAUGAUGUUUUUGGUGUCCUAGAUCAAUCCUCUGACAGGCAGCUUCCUAAAUUCCUGUAUAAAAAUUGACCAGACUGGAGGAUGACUUACUUCAGUACUGGUGAUGAGGCAGCAUUAUCUAAGGUGCCUAGGAGCGUGAAGGUAUCUUAAGGGGUGUUGGCAGGCUGAAUGGCACCCACUUUUCCUGCACCCCUUUAAGUCACAGUCUCCCCCCUCAAGUCAUAGGUAUUGGGCAUAUCUAUUUCAUAAAACUUUCUUCCCUUCCACGCCCCAAACCUGAGUACUGAUUCCACCCUGUUUAUUCACAACACAUAAAUGUAUGGCAUGGGGUGUGGGUGUGUAAGGGAGAACUGAGAAUAAUAUGCUAAUAAGUGUGUUUGUUAGUACGUACAUGUGUGCAAGUAAGGGGGGAUGGAGAUUAAUAUGCUCAAAGGCAAAAUUGACACUGGUCUUUUCCAGUAUGAACACAGUGAAGUUGUGAGAAACUUACAUCCCUCCUCCCCACCGGCCUUUAUCACCUCUAUUUAUAAAAAGGAGCUUAAUGUAUGAUCGCAAUAAAACUAUGAUGCUAGCAAAACAAGCCAGAUUCUCUCCCCCCCCCCUUGCUCUCAGUCUGUGAGAAGUGCGUGGGCUGAGGUCUGCUGCAUUGCCGAAAGGGGUUUGUUUCUCCUCUUUCGUUUUGCUCAUUAUGUUCCCUCGAUUGUCUCAAAAUACCCCAUUAAGGGAUCAGCACUGCUUCUUGCAACUUUUUUUUUUAAAAAAAAUAAAUGUUCUGAGCCAUCUAGGAUUUGGGGUGGUUGGUAACUCAGAUGGGGAAUAAGCAAAGUCUAACCAAGGAAGCUCGUCAAAAAUUAAAAGUGUAUAGAAACAAGGAGAGCCAUCAGAAGAAGCUCUAUUCUAAAUUGCUUGUUUCCUCCCAAUAAGAGGGUAGUUUGUAAAGGAUUGGAAUAACCUAAUAAUGGAUAAGAUUUCCCUGCAGCUAAAUAGGAUGUCAAAUAUUCUGAUCACUUCUUAGAAAAAGGGCACAGAUUCUUAGCACACACAGAGUCAGCAAGAAAUAUUUUGCUUUAUGCUUCUUUGUUGUACACCUCCUCACUGUUUCACUGCCAAAUAUCCAACUCUCUUUCUGCCAAUGAUUGCAGGUAUUACAUCAAUCAUACAUUCAUAAGAUUCUGGGUUCAGUCUGCCCAUCCCCAAGUAAGGCUGGGGGAGACCCCUGUCAUUGUAGACAAUAUUGAACGAGAUGGACAAAUGGUUUGACUCAGUAUUAAGCUUCCUGUUUUCCAUGACUUGUAAGUAGGGGAUGGAGGGAAAAAAAUGAUUCAGUUCACAUUUAAAAGCAAAACUAUUUUUCCUACACUCUCACACUUCCCAAAACAAAAUGUGAACUGAAACACAGCCAUCUUCCAAAUGUUCCACUUCUUUGAAUUUUGCACUGCAGUUCUCCAGCCCAGCAACGUGCACAUAAAUUCACAUACUAGUAGAGUUAAAAUGCAUUAUAUCAGAGGGAAGGUUAGGAAAUUUGCACAAGGCUGUUGGGUUUUUCUGAGGAUUCGCAGACUGACAUGGGAAUGUGGGGAAUGGAACUUAGUAUUGGGAAAAAGAGAAACGGAGAAAAUCCAGAAUUGGUAAUUUGUUCCUCCCUAAUUGUAAACAAGCAGACGUUGCAUGGUUGUCCCAUUGUCCCAAUUGUAUUUUUUGUAUUGUAUUUGUUAAAGUGAGCAAAAAUAAUAUAGUAGAAUUAAAAAAUAAAACAGGAGCAGGAUUUCAUCAGAACCAUGUUAUAUUCAGUUACAUGUGGCACCAUGAGAUUUAGUUGUGUCCCACAAGGCCGAAGGCAUUUUGCAUUGGGCAGCAGAUCUUCUGCACCUUCCCCCCUUGUUUUAAACUUUUUAAUUUUGUUAACAACUUUGCUUACGGGGUAGAUGGGUGUGUAUGGGACCACAGCAUGUCUCUGCAUCUUAAUUUGUCCAGACAAAUUUGUUCCACGGGCAUGUUCCCUGAGGUUGUUGUUUUUUAAUCACCUAGAAAUGCUCUUCCUAGCCUCUAACACCCCUAUUGUCUUCCAAAAAGUCUCGAUCUGACACCUCCAUGAUGUUUAAGAGAGCAUGUUUAAUUGAGGAGGGGCAGGGCCAAGCCAAACAGAACAGAACAGGAAAAGCAGUCUGUCAGGCACUGUGGAUUUUGGGGGUGGGGGGACUGUGUGUAUGUGUUUUGGUCAUGUCCACUUUGGGUAAGGUCCUGUCUACCACUGGUAUGCAGCCCUCACCACUUUCUCCAAAGGAAAUGAAGCCCUUGCAGGGAGCAGGGAACAGUUCCUAACUGCUGAUGUACACCAGCAGUGAUGAUACAUGAGCUCUUUUUUGGGGGAGAGGGGGGAUUUCUAACCAUGAGGUAUGUUAUGUAUUGAAGUUCUCACCCUGGCCACCAGGAGUAUUGUGUAUGUAGUUUUCACUCAGGUCCACAUCAGUUACUUUAGGCGGGAAACCCUGGCUUGUUGUUGCUACAAUGCUGACAGCUGGCUGCCUAUAAAAGCAGGCCGGCUGAGCUGUCUGCUGUUCAGUUCUGUUCCAGCUUACAAAUAAAAAGCUGCUUUGGAGAAAUCGCUGCGUCGUCUGCUAUGUCUACCCACUAUUUAACAAUGUACAUACAAGUGCAGGAAUGCAAGAGGCACCAUGCAAUACACAGCCUAUUUCACAAACAUCAGCAUCUGUUUUCCAUUUUGAGCUGUGGCAGCAUUUCGCCAAAUAUACACCUUCAAACCAAAAGAACAACUCGUUGACUUUUAAAUUGUGGACGACAAGCAGAGUAAAUGAAAAACGUGUGCAAGAGACAGAGCAAGACCUCCAGAAACACAUUUGCAGAUUUGCAUUGGCGGGAGCCGAUGUGAGGAGCAUGCCUGUGCCAUUUUCUGGUCCUGGCUCUUUCUUUGUUCUUUUAAAUGUGGCAGCCAUUUUGUGCUGUAUGCCAUGCCCCCAAAGCAGCCAUGCUAUGUUAUGCAAUGACCUCAUGGCAGCCAUUUUGUGACUGGUACCCACAGUGCUUUCUUAAAAUUCUAAAUGUGUCCACUGACCAAUAAAGAUAUAAACCCAGUCCUCUCAUAUUGGCAUUGCUUUUUAAAAGCACCACUGCCUAUUUUUGAGUUAUGGAGCCCCCAUUGCUGGUUUUCCAGGACAUCUGCCCAAUUUCUGAAAAAUAACCCAGGAUGCCAUUUUCGGAGGUGAAUUCCAUGACAUGUCUUGGAAAAUCAGGACAUAUGGCAGCCCUUUCACCAACCCACCAAGGGAGAGUGGUUUUCUGGGAACAAGUAGCAGAAAAUGGGGGCCAUUGGAGCAUCUGGGGUCAGGCCCUGCCUCUCCAUGUGCUGUUGUUGGGAAAUGGAAUGCCCCAGGAAACCUCACUGCAUUGCCUUCUACUCAAACCCCUGUUUUGCUUCACUGAUUGCCAUUUAGAGUAGUCUUUUUUGAACACCUGCUCUCCCUGAAGGUUCAAUUCUAAGGCUCAGUCUGCACAUGCACCAGAAUGAAACAUACCUGCCAACAUUUCUCUGAUGAAAAUAGAGACAUCCCAUUCCAUAAUGUUAAUUUUACUAUUUAUACCCGACACAUCUUUCUGGGUUGCCCCAGUCAUUCUGGGUGGCUUCCAACAUAUAUAAAAACAUAAUUAAACAUUUAGCAUUAAAAAAACCCUUCCCUAUACAGGAUUGCCUUCAGACGGCUUGAGGGUAGGAUAACUUCAUACCCUCCAACAUUUCUCCAAUGAAAAUAGGGACAUCCUAAGGAAAAGCAGGACAUUCUGGGAUCAAAUCAGAAAUUGAGAUGUCUUCUCUAAAUCAGGGACAUCCUUAGAUAAUAGGGAUACUUGUAGGGUCUGAAUAAAGUGGUACAGUCCUCCUGAGACAAUAGAAUGUACCGGAUCUUACAUCAUAGUCCUUUCAAGAGGGGCUGGUACCCCACAGCAGUGCUGGCAGCCUUCAGCCAGCCUGCCCAGGAUGGAUCUGAGCUCAUCUUCCUCCCUUCAUCCCAGCAACACUGCUCCCCUCCAGCAGUUACUCUGGCAACCUUCCAAAUCCUGGGGCAAGGGGGAAAGAGUUCUCUUGUAUUGUUAAAGUCCCUCAAUUGUUCUUUUGAUAGUCAUAGCUCAGCCAGGUUGUUUUGCAUAAGGAAUUCCUUUGCAGCUUGCAUUCUCCCUUCAUAUCACAUCACAAAUAACCAAAAUCCUAGAUUUAUUAAUUUAUUAAUUAGAGCUGAUGAAGCGGCUGGGCCAAAGCCGAAAGGACGCUCAGUUGUGGAUAUGCCUGGAAGCGAAAGGAAAGUCCAAUGCUGUAAAGAAAAAUAUUGCAUAGGAACCUGGAAUGUAAGAACCAUGAACCUGGGUAAGUUGGAUGUGGUCAAAAAUGAGAUGGCAAGAAUAAAUAUUGACAUCCUGGGCAUCAGUGAACUAAAAUGGACGGGAAUGGGAGAAUUCAGUUCGGAUGACUAUCAUAUCUACUACUGUGGGCAAGAAACCUGUAAAAGAAAUGGAGUGGCCCUCAUAGUUAACAAAAGAGUGGCAAAAGCUGUACUGGGAUGCAAUCUCAAAAAUGAUAGAAUGAUCUCGAUACGAAUCCAAGGCAGACCUUUUAACAUCACAGUAAUCCAAGUUUAUGCACCAACUACUGGUGCUGAAGAAACUGAAAUUGACCAAUUCUAUGAAGACUUACAAGACCUUAUAGAAGUGACACCAAAGAAGGAUGUUCUUCUCAUUAUAGGGGAUUGGAAUGCUAAAGUAGGGAAUCAAGAGAUAAAAGGAACAACUGGCAAGUUUGGCCUUGGAGAUCAAAACGAAGCAGGGCAAAGGCUAAUAGAGUUCUGUCAAGAGAACAAGCUGGUCAUCACAAACACGCUUUCCCAACAACACAAGAGACGACUCUACACAUGGACAUCACCAGAUGGGCAACAUCGAAAUCAGAUUGAUUAUAUUCUCUGCAGCCAAAGAUGGAGAAGCUCUAUACAGUCAGCAAAAACAAGACCUGGAGCUGACUGUGGCUCAGAUCAUCAGCUUCUUAUAGCAAAAUUCAAGCUUAAACUGAAGAAAGUAGGAAAAACCACUGGGCCGGUAAGAUACAAUCUAAGUCAAAUCCCUUAUGAAUACACAGUGGAAGUGAGGAACAGGUUUAAGGAUUUAGAUUUGGUGGACAGAGUGCCUGAACUAUGGAUGGAGUCUCGUAACACUAUAGAGGAGGCAGCAACGAAAACCUCCCAAUGAAAAGGAAAUGCAAGAAAGCAAAGUGGCUGUCCAACAAGGCCUUACAAAUAGCGGGGGAAAGAAGGCAAGCAAAAUGCGAGGGAGAUAGUGAAAGAUACAGGAAAUUGAAUGCAGAUUUCCAAAAAAUAGCAAGGAGAGACAAGAAAGCCUUCUUAAACGAGCAAUGCAAAGAAAUAGAGGAAAACAGCAGAAUGGGAAGAACCAGAGAUCUGUUCAAGAAAAUCGGAGAUAUGAAAGGAACAUUUCGUACAAAGAUUACCGUAAUAAAGGACAAAAGUGGUAAGGACCUAACAGAAGCAGAAGACAUCAAGAAGAGGUGGCAAGAAUACACAGAGGAACUAUACCAGAAAGACAUGGAUGUCUCGUACACCCCAGGUAGUGUGGUUGCUGACCUUGAGCCAGACAUCCUGGAGAGUGAAGUCAAAUGGGCCUUAGAAAGCACUGCAAAUAACAAGGCCAGUGGAAGUGAUGGUAUUCCAGCUGAACUAUUUAAAAUUUUAAAAGAUGAUGCUGUUAAGGUGCUACACUCAAUAUGCCAGCAAGUUUGGAAAACUCAGCAGCGGCCAGAGGAUUGGAGGAGAUCAGUCUACAUCCCAAUCCCAAAGAAGGGCAGUGCCAAAGAAUGCUCCAACUACCGCACAAUUGCACUCAUUUCACAUGCUAGCAAGGUUAUGCUUAAAAUUCUACAAGGAAGGCUCAAGCAGUAUGUGGACCCAGAACUCCCAGAAGUGCAAGCUGGAUUUAGAAGAGGCAGAGGAACCAGAGACCAAAUUGCAAACAUGCGCUGGAUUAUGGAGAAAGCUAGAGAGUUCCAGAAAGACAUCUACUUCUGCUUCAUUGACUAUGCAAAAGCCUUUGACUGUGUCGACCACAGCAAACUAUGGCAAGUUCUUAAAGAAAUGGGAGUGCCUGAUCACCUCAUCUGUCUCCUGAGAAAUCUCUAUGUGGGACAAGAAGCUACAGUUAGAACUGGAUAUGGAACAACUGAUUGGUUAAAAAUUGGGAAAGGAGUACGACCAGGCUGUAUAUUGUCUCCCUGCUUAUUUAACUUAUAUGCAGAAUUCAUCAUGCAAAAGGCUGGGCUGGAUGAAUCCGAAGCCGGAAUUAAGAUAGCCGGAAGAAAUAUCAACAACCUCAGAUAUGCAGAUGAUACAACCUUGAUGGCAGAAAGUGAGGAGGAAUUAAAGAACCUUUUAUUGAGGGUGAAAGAGGAGAGCGCAAAAUAUGGUCUGAAGCUCAACAUCAAAAAAACGAAGAUCAUGGCCACUGGUCCCAUUACCUCCUGGCAAAUAGAAGGGGGGAAAAUGGAGGCAGUAAGAGAUUUUACUUUCUUGGGCUCCAUGAUCACUGAAGAUGGUGACAGCAGUCACAAAAUUAAAAGACGCCUGCUUCUUGGGAGAAAAGCAAUGACAAACCUAGACAGCAUCCUAAAAAGCAGAGACAUCACCUUGCCAACAAAGGUCCGUAUAGUAAAAGCUAUGGUUUUCCCAGUAGUGAUGUAUGGAAGUGAGAGAUGGACCAUAAAGAAGGCUGAUCGCCGAAGAAUUGAUGCUUUUGAAUUAUGGUGCUGGAGGAGACUCUUGAGAGUCCCAUGGACUGCAAGAAGAUCAAACCUAUCCAUUCUUAAGGAAAUCAGCCCUAAGUGCUCACUGGAAGGACAGAUCGUGAAGUCGAGCUCCAGCACUUUGGUCACCUCAUGAGAAGAGAAGACUCCCUGGAAAAGACCCUGAUGUUGGGAAAGAUGGAGGGCACAAGGAGAAGGGGGCGACAGAGGAUGAGAUGGUUGGAUGGUAUUCUCGAAGCUACCAGCAUGAGUCUGUCCAAACUGCGGGAAGCAGUGGAGGACAGAAGUGCCUGGCAUGCUCUGGUCCAUGGGGUCACGAAGAGUCGGACACGACUAAAUGACUAAACAACAACAAGGGUUUAAGGGGGACCCCCUAAAUCUAUCUAUAUAUUUAUAUGUACAGUGGUGCCUCGCAAGACGAAAUUAAUCCGUUCCGCGAGAGUCUUCGUCUAGCGGUUUUUUCGUCUUGCGAAGCAAGCCCAUUGACGGAUUAGCGCUAUUAGCGCUAUUAGCGGUUUAGCGGCUAUUAAAGCCUUAAAGGCUUAGGGAUUAGCUGCUAAAAGGCUAUUAAAGGCUAUUAAAGGCUUAGCAGAUUAGAUAAAGGGGGAAGCGGAAAAAAAUCUCAAGACUCGCAAGAUAUUUUCGUCUUGCGAAGCAAGCCCAUAGGGGAAUUCGUCCUGCGAAGCAACUUCAAAACGGAAAACCCUUUCGUCUAGCGGUUUUUCCGUCUUGCGAGGCAUUCGUCUUGCGGGGCACCACUGUAUAUAAUAAACAAACAUUAUAUAUCUCCAGAACACUCUCCUUCUCUCACACAUAAACACACUCUGUUACAAAUCUCUUUCUCUUGCAACACAAAUAUACCCCCCUCACACACCCUCUCACAGGCACAUAUAUUUCUCACACACAAGCACAAAAUAUCUCUCUCUCUCUCUCUCUCUCUCUCUCACACACACACACACACACACACACAGAGUCUGUCACACACCCACAUAAACAAUAUACUGUAUAUUUCUCUCUCUCUCUCUCUCUCUCUCACACACACACACACACACAGAGAGAGAGAGAGAGAGAGAGAGAGAGAGAGAGAGAGAGAGCUAUUAGCUACAAAUACCUUUCUCUCCCCACAACCCUCAGUGCUAAAAUCAACCUGGUGAAAAGAUUAUUAAUUUCAGUCAGGGAAAUGAUAGUGCAGAAUGGGGGGUUCAUAUCCGACGGUCAUAGCCCUGCGAUUCAGUUUUUCCCAACCUGUCACACAACCCUUGGUAAGCAAAGAAGAAGCCAUCAGCAGACCAAAUCACAGGCUUCCCACAUCACGUCUGUUGUGGCCUAGGUGGGAGAUUAUAUCUCUGGAUGAUGCCCUAGCAACUCUCUGAAUGAAGAAAAGUGGAACGGCAAAGGGAAAACUUUUUCUUCUCUAUGCACCUGUUUUUGCUUUGUUUCUGCUUUCCAUGAGCUUCUAUACACGGGAAAGCAUUAAAAAAAUGUACACUAUACAUCUGGAAGGAUGCUGUGGCCUAAUUUUGCCAUGAGUGUAGAAGGGGGAUGGGGAAGUUAUUGGACUCCAGCUCCCAUCAGCCUCAGUGUGGCCAGUGGCUAUGGAUGAUGGCAGUUGUAGUCCAGAAACACCUGGAGAGACACAAGUUUUCCACCCCACUUGUAUACCAAGUCCCAUACACACCAAAUGUGACGAUUGUUAGCAAAUGCACUUGAACAAUGCAGAUGGAGUCCUGAUGGCAUAAUGUUUUACUGCAGAAACCAAACAAAAACAGUGCAUCAUCUGAGUUCAGGCCUUGUACAGAGCAGGCAGAGGCAGACUGAAGCAGCUGCCUUGGGUGGCAGAAUCCAGGGGGAUGCUGCCACUGCGGUUGCCCCACUUGCCCCUGCCCCUGCUGCUAGGGUCACACAGUGAAGGUGGCUUUUUCCAGUGAGAUCUCAUGAGAGUUCUAUGAGAUCUCGCUGGAAGUCACUGAACAACCCCAGUAAGCGAGGCUUCGGCAAAAGGCUGCAGCCACAAUGGGGCAAGGCAGCAACUUUCCAUUUUGCCUCAUGCAAUGGGAUGAGCACUCAUGAGAGCGGGAACUCAUUCAACAAAACUAGGCUUGCCAUAUGUCAGGAAAAUUCCUGGUAUGUUCUGUUUUUUUUGCUGAAAUGGCAAAAUAUCAGAGAAAACCUGGAUGUAUGGCAACGCGAUUGAAAAAGCACUUUAAGCAGCUCCAAAAGCUUAAAAUCACUAUAUUUUGUGGGGAGGCUCAACAACUUCGGGGAGGCUUUUUUGAAAUAUGGCAACCCUAAACAAAACGUACAGAAGAAAAACUCCCUGAGAACUUCACAGCCAAUCAGAGCAUGUGCUACUUCAGUAAACACCAUGUCUGGUGUCUACCUGGUUGCUAAGCAACACCUCCACCCAUCCCCCUCUGGGCUAGUUGACUUUAACACCAACAGAACUAACCCUUAAACUGCAAAUUGAAUGAUCCCUACUGUUGCCCUUCCAACAAUGGUAAGGCUGUUUCAUGACUUCAGGCAGCAUGUGGCAACUCACAAAAACAACACACACAAAAAAACCCCCCAAUAAAAAUCCAUGCACACAGGAGGCUAGCAUGCUUUAUUCCCAAUGUGCCGAUAAUAUAACUUGAUUAUUUUUGGAAAUAUUCCAGGGAAGGGAGUUUGAUAAAUAUGCAUGUAUGUCUCCCCUUUCACAAAUCCACAACCAGCUCCUACACACAUACACACACACACACAGGCAAUCCAACAAGUUUUCUGAUUAUUCCCCCCAACUCACAUACCGCCAAUUACAUUUGCCUAAAAAUAAAACCUCCAAUCAAAACCCGACCUCUUAUGUAAUUAGCUAGGCUGCCUGCCUUUCCUCUCCCACAGAAUGCCAAAUGAAACCAAAGGGUCUGCGAUGCUCAUUUAAAGUGAAAGGAGCAGGCACAAAAUCUUUUUUGGCCCUGAGUGUGCUCAGCUACUCCAUGUUUGCAGCCUGGUUGAGCCUAGUCAUAGUUCAAGGAGAGGAAAUGACCUCUCCUGGCAUCUUUUAGGGAAGGAUCUUAGCUCAGUGAUAGAAGGUCCUUGGUUCAUUCCCCAGCAUUUCCAGGUAGGGAUGAAAGGGAUCCCAGUCUGAAUAAUACUAAUACUAAUAAUAAAAAAUACCCUGCCCAUCUGGUUGGGUUUUCCUAGCCACUCUGGGCAGCACAUAAGGGGAUAAGAGUGGGGGACGACGACAUAGUUUUCAGUACACAGCCAAAUCACACCUGGCGACCAAAGAGGAAAGGCUGUUAAUUUAAAUACUGAAUUUUGCAUUAGCAGUUGCACUACUUUAGUACAUUGGGCAGCAGACAGACACUGUGUCCUGUAUCUCCGUUUCCCACAGGGAAAACUCUCCCCUCCUUGUCAGUCAGUGUGGACAAUACUGAGCUAGAUAGCUGAAUGAUCUGACUUAGUAUAAGGCAGCUUUCAAUUUUCCUAAUAGUUUUUGCUCUGUUUGACUGUAUGUUGGUCAUCAAUGGCAGGCAAAUUAGACAGGGCUCCACGGAGAUGGAAGAAGGGAACAUAUUACCUACCUUUAAUGUGUGUCAUGCUCCUGGUCCCAAUAUGGCAGCUUUCCACAAAUAAUAGCCCAGUUUGUGGGCUGAAGACCUUCCUGUCUAGCCCAUGGGACUCUCCCCAAGGCUUUUGCCUGAUUCAGAUGUGUCCUUGGGUGUUUCCAGACUGGGAUUCAAUCACAUUCCAGCAAAUUCAGGUUGUUCGGAAAAGUGGCAGGAAAAUGCACUGGAAAAUGUGGGAUGAUGACGAUUGCUUGAUGCAAUGUUGUCUAACCUGGCUGCAAACUUUUGUGCAAACAAAUCAGGUUGGUUGGAUGCUCAGCAAAAGGACCACCUGGAAGCAACUCUUGAGCAGUGAUGAUGCCUCUCACUUGCCUGGAUGGAGGAGGGAGAGAGGUGUACAUGACAGAGGAUGAGUGUAGAAACCUCCAACUUCUGUGUUGCAAACUUAAGAGUCGCCUCUGUUGUUCUAACCACUUUUGCCUCUGCAGCCCCAUCAUUGGAAUGUGGCCCCAAGAAAGUCAUUUUGAAGAGGGUUCUCUACACCAACAGCAGCUAAAAAUACAGGAGAGCUGUUUGUGUCUUUCCAGCUUUCCUGCCCCUAUAUCUGGAAGGCUUCCUUGCUCCCAGGCUUAAUACCAUUAAUGAUUCGCCCUUUCUCAAUGCCGAUGUUACCUCAAAACUGUUACUUGCUGGACAGUAUCUGUGCCCUCACUGAUGCUGAGAAAGCCAUGCACCUUCCCAUUCCCUCCAGAGCCACCCCAUUUUGCAACCCAGAGAUUGGGCAUCAGAGAGGGAACUUGCAUGCAAAACCGUUUUAGUCCAAGAGAAAAAUGUGAGUAGGCUGCCUGUCAGUGUCACACACAGACACACACGCAAACACACCGACACUGCCUUGAGCCUGCACUACAGCUGAAGUCAAAAUGACAUGGAACUCCUGCCCAUUUUGCCUGCACCAAGGCUUGUCAGUUUCAGCUCCUAUGUAGUCCCCCAUUUUCAGGUUGGCACUUAUGUGCACAUGCACCAUCCAGACACACUGAAUUCAGUAUGACCUCUAAAACACAGCCCAGAUUCCUACCUUCCCUUUCUCUUUUAGCUUAGGAUCGCAUCCACACCAAGCAUUAAAAGCACAUGGCUUCUCCUGAAGAUUCCUGGGAACUGUUAAGGGAGCUGGGGAUGACAGCUCUGUGAAGGGUAGGCUGCAGUUCCCAGGAUUAUUCUUGAGACCGUGUGAAGAAUGUGCUUUAAAUGUGCUUUGACUGUAUGUUGUGGGAAUGACCUAGGACAUGGGUGGGGAGCCUCCAUUCUAGGGGCCAAAUGUGGCCCUUGGUACCUGUCAGGGAACUGACAUCGGAGCCAGAGGCGGAGGCUAGGCUCCCAAGUGAUGCUGGAGAAGGGCCCAGCAGGGAGAGAGGCAGCUCAUCAGCUGGGGAAGGAAAUCAGCGUAACACCAGGGAUAAAGGGGGGCAGAUGGGGGAAUCGGCGAGGGGGCUCCAGGACUCCUUGCCGGAGACCAGCGGGGAGAGCACGGGUCCUCCGCUACCCACGCCCUCCCUGCGCAGAAGACUUCCGCGCAGGGAGAGUAGGAGGAGACUUGGCGUCAAACAGCUUUUAUGCUGGAAAAGGUUUAAGAAAAGCCCACUGAAGGAUUCUGCUAGCAACUGAAACAGCCACGAAGUGAAGGGCUGUCCAGACAGAAAAGGUUUAACCAGGCAACCUAGCCAGGAGUGGCGGCAACUUACGCACGAGCAACCCCUAUUAUUAUUACAGUACCUUACUGACUGCACCUUGGUCCCUACAUUGGCUCCCAGUACAUUUCCGAGCAUUUUUGUGUUGGUGCUGACCUUUAAAGCCUUAAACGGCCUCAGUCCAGGAUACCUGAAGGAGCGUCUCCACCACCAUCGUUCUGCCCGGACGCUGAGGUCCAGCGCCGAGAGCCUUCUGGCAGUUCCCUCACUGCAAGAAGCAAAGUUACAGGGAACCAGGCAAAGGGCUUUCUGGGUAGUGGCACCUGCCCUGUGGAAUGCCCUCCCAUCAGAUAUCAAGGUAAUAAACAACUAUCUAACUUUUAGAAGACAUCUGAAGGCGGCCCUGUUUAGGGAAGUUUUUAAUGUUUGAUGCUUUAUCGAGUUUUUAGUAUUCUGUUGGGAGCCACCUAGAGUGGCUGGGGAAACCCAGCCAGAUGGGCGGGGUAUAAAUAUUAUCAGUUGUUAUUAUUAUUAUUGCUUCCUUGUCACUUAACUGAUAACUUUUUAAAUGCCCCAGUUUUUCUGUUUCUCUGUCUUUCCAACCAAGUUAUCCAACCAAGCCAUGUAUUUUCCAUAAAACAAAAAUCAGACGUUUUCUUACCUACCUCGCUAUAAAAUUUCCUGUUCAUAGACUUUGUAACGUCAGCUCAGGGCUUUUGAAUGCACAUUUGUUUUCCACCUUCCCUGCUAUCACCACCCUAGGCAGUCAGCUGGAAAAAGAAGAGACUUAUUUAUUGGGAGAGAAACAUGCUCAGAAAUUUUUUUUAGAUAACCCUCACACAUCAGUUUCUACAGAAACCGCUCCCCUAGUGCCCUUUCAGAAUUGCCAGUCACAUGGGGCUCAGAGUAGAGCCCAUCCCAGUGCCAAAAUUGAAGCAAAAUAACAGCAAAGAUUAGGGAAUGCUUGAAAGAAUAUCUGUCUCACUCUGGGUAGUAUUUGUUAGCAUCUUCAUUUACUUAAGGCUUUUUUAAGCCUGCUUUUUGAUCUGCGUGAGUCUACAAAGCUUGCAAAAACCAAAAGCAAAGCUUUAGACUAUAGCUGCCUCUUCCUCACUUCUCCAGACAAUCUCGGGUCCUCCAGACUGGGAGAUGUUUUCUGUGGGUGUUUCCUGCAUUAUGUCAUUGAUGGACAGUCCACACACAUUAUUCCUCUUUAUAAGUUGUCCUGCAAUGCUUCCCUAAGGGUGUCACAUUAGUGCUGCCUGAAGCAGCAAUCUUGUACUACAAUGCAACAAAACCAGAUCAAACAACAACACCUCAGAACAUUUCCAUGGAUGUAGCCAGUGAGGGGCAGUGGGGGCAGCAACCCCUCCCCUAAAUCAAGUAAAUAAAUGAAGAUACUUAAGUAAAAGUAUAAAGAAUCAGAAUAUUUGAAAUUAAAAUGCUUUGUGAGGUCAGUUGGAUGAUGUCGCGAAGCAUUCUAGCGACACAACUGGCAACUCGACUGAGCGAUAGGUGAGGCUUCUGUGAACUGACCAGUCUCGUCACAGGUAGCUCAGUUCUGGAACAGGACAGGUGGGUGUCCUGCCCCCACCCCAACAACAUACCGUAUUUUUUGCUCUAUAGGACACACUCCCCCCCCCUCCAAAAUUAAGGGGAAAUGUGUGUGCGUCCUAUGGAGCGAAUGCAGGCUCCAUGGCUUCAGCAAUAGCAAUGCGAAGCCUCCAAAGCGCAGAGGGAGCGCUCCCAGUCCCACCAGGAGAUGCUGGGGACUGAACCUGCUGCCUUCUGCAUGCUAAGCAGUUGUUCUACCACUGAGCUAUGGCCCUAGCUCACAAUAUUGCUGUCAGGAUAAAAUGGAGAAGGUGGAGGCUGAAGUGUGUAUGCUCUGUGGAGGAAAGGUGGGAUAGAAGUAUAAGAAGGAAUAAAGUAUGUAAACUAGCCUAUAAGUGAAUAAACUACAGUAUAUUUUUAACUUACUCUCCUAAUAAUUUGUAUAUAAAUUAUUAAAGUGGUAUAUAAAUUUUGUUAAAUAAAAAAAGGGGAAAUGUUCAGACUUUCAAGCAAUAUGUUAUGCCUGAGCCUUCAUUGCUGAAACUCCCAACAGCAUUUUCAUGCUCACAAACACCUGAUGAAGGAACCAUUGUGACAUAACCCGUUCAAGCAGAGUGAAGGGGCAACAGGCUGUCAACAGUGGCAGUAGUUGGGGGCUCCCAUCUAUCAAAAAGCCACAGAAAGUCUUUUCCUACUGCCUGAGGAAUUAAUCCCUUAUUUAACGUUCAUAAUUGCUGGAUCGAUUUAACAGGACUGGAGCUAACAUUUGCUUGGAUUUGGCACCAUUCAUAGGGAACUGCCUGCUGCGUCCUCCGCUUUGAAGUCACCCUGGUCUUUGGGCCUCCAGCACCUUCUUCAGCAUGUCCAACCCAUCUAAGAGGCGUAUGAUACUGGUGUUCCACUGGGUUAGGAAGAAGCCCUUGACAGAGAAGCCGUGCUCUACCACCUCGGCCAGACCUUCUGCCUCUGCACCGGCUUGCAACGCUCCUCACAUUUCACCCUACUUCACGAGGAGCAAGACACAACCCGCUCUGCUCAGGAGGUCCAGCAGGCGCAAGGUGCUGCGAUUGCCGAAUCUCACCAACCCCAAGUUUUUAAGAUCUGUCAUUGGCAGCGUUGGCCGGAAGAGAGCCCGCAGGCGUGGCAAGCAAAAGAUGCCCACGAGCAUUUAAGAUAUGAAAAGCUACUGGAUUUAAUCAGGAAGUUAUGAGGCAUGCACUGAUUGGAAGCAAAGCUGUAUAUCGGCCCUGAACCUUCUGCAGUUGCAGGUUAAGUAGGCUUGCUUUUAAAUGCCAUCUGAAUCAAGUUUCUCCCCCAUCCCUAUUGGUAGCUAUGUGGAGGGUUGCUAUCACUUCUUCCUCCCUCCCUCUCCACUCCAGUGUAUCUUUUAACAUGAGCCAAAGAAGCAGACAAAAGGCAAAUGCUUUCCUCUCAGCUCUGUUCCCACUGGAGUCCACUGGUCUCCUCCUUCUGUCACAGGCUCAUCCCCCUGAUCUCUCCCAGGUACCAGACGCUUUGCAACCAGAAGUUUAGUGAUCCUUCCACUUUGUUCCAGAUUUGGCAAGUAGGCCACAUAUGCCUUCCAGAUCUCGAGAAGAGGCCUGCCAUCUUCCACGCUUUGAUGCUGAGUGUCACGGAGGUGUUCCAUAAAGGCUUCCCUUUUACGGAUGGUGACUGUACUUCUCUCCCCUCCUGCCUUUCAUUUCCUCUAAAGCUGCACCGCUACUGCAAAGCACAUCAGCUAAUGAAGCUGCUGACACUUCUAGGUCUCAGGGGGAUUCCCCCUCCCCCCAAUUUUACUUUGCAG